GCCGAUAGUGACAUGAAAACGGAAAGCAAGAUAAGUUGCUAUCCUUCCAUUAUGUGACAAAGAUCUUUGGAUGAUAAUGACAAGAAAAUGACAUCGUAAUCCAAUAUCAAUCACCUAGAUAUUGGUGGAUCGAUUUACACAGACACAGUGCCCGCGCAAGCAACAAUAUCAGGCCACGAGUUUGCAAGCAUGCAUCUUGGACUACUAUUUUUUGAAAAACAUCAAAAUUACAUGCAGAAGAGGAAAUCCUACAUCUCAACAAAAUCAAACAAGGAAACAUGAGGGGUCUCAUAUUAUUUGCUGAGUUAUCCAAGUUUACUUCACUCAGAAAUCAUGCGGGACAAAAGUGGUGUAUUUGUUGCUGCCUUUUAUGCCUGGUGGCUCAUGCCUCUGGCUCUGGCUUCUCGAAGAAAGUUUUCUUAAUCCAGUCAAAUGGCUGCAAAAGAGAUCCAAGAAAGUUUCAGAAUCUCAGUGAAAGAUGCACUGUAGUUCACAGCAAAACAGGCACAAGAACAGACAUCAAUAAAGGAAACUAAGACCUAUAACCAAACACAAUAUAUCAAAAUACUGCACAUCCUCUUAUUAACGAAUCAAGUGAGAGGAAGAGUUAGAUCACCAAAAGGAGGAAACGCUUGUCUUUAAGUAACAUAACAGAGUCAUCUUCUAAUUAGCGAGUCAAAUAGAGUGACCUCAAACAGUUACAUAACAGAUCACAUGUGCUCUGCAAAUUCCUAGUUGCAAGGCUCAUUAUAAAGGCGAGGUCUUCCAGCCAGUAGGGUGAGAGGAAUGGAGUUAAAACACCAAAUGGAGCAAUGCACUAGCUUGAGGCAUAAGCUAAAGGAAACACCACAACAAUUCGGUUCCAUUGCUAUCGUCAUUACAACCUCAAAUGAUCUAUGAACCAUAAGACAAAACUAUCAGGAGUACAGAUGAUCUGUUGGUGAGACUGAGACCUACCAGUACACUUUUAGGCAAUCGUGGACAGAUUUAGCAUCUGAGCAGACACCAAUACCAAAACUAUCAGAACAUAGGAACAGGGAAUCAUGUACAAUGAUCAGAGGUAAACCAUGAACUCUUCAUCGAAUGCCCAAACAGACAACUCAAAAAAGAAUAACAAUGCUCCUACAAUUAAUUGAGUCGACCAAAAUUUUGUAUUCCUAUGAACAAUACAGUGUAGGUGUUCAUAACACCUCGAUGCUUACUUACAGAAGCUCCGCACACAAGGAGCGUAGGCACAAGAUGUAACUUGGCUAUAGAAAGAACCAAAAAGAGUGGUGCGAAUCAAGGGUGAAAAAUGAUAGAAUCAGAUGAAAGCAAAACGGUGCCACCAGAUGACCGCAUAGGUUAACUAAACAUUAAUUUACAAUAUCCAUAUGUGUUUCAAAUUUCAAGUGGCACGAACCAUUAGUCAGAAUUAUGUUAGAGUUUGUACCAAGUACCAAGCGGUAACUAGAAAUUUGUGUUUUUCACUAAACUAGCACCUAUUAUAUCCUGGUCAAAUAUUAUGAUGGCCUGAUAAUGAUGUGGCGCCAACUUAAUGUGUGUCUACUUCAACAUUUGCCGGAGCUUAUUUAUUGCAACAUUUUCUGAUUCCUAAGACACAUUUGACAUAGCAAUUCCAUAGAUGAACUCAUAGCCUAGGUCAUCACAAACUCGUUGGUUGCUCAUCUAACUAGAUCCAGAGAGCAAGCCUGACAACGCGAUAAGCACUAUCGAGAGCAAGUCCCCUUUCCCUCACAACCACAAUAGACCGAUCGACCAAUCGUUGAUCAGACCUCAGGCCGCUGAUCUAACCUCCGCAGAUCCAGACCGAUAAUAAGGAGCACACAAACAUCACAGAUCCGAUCCAAAGCAACCAAACCCUAACGCCGCGCAGCAAACAAAUCGACGUACUAAGCAACAGAUGCGAGCCUAAUACCAAGCUACGGUCAAAAUGCUGAAAGUGGGGGCGGAUCCGUGAUACGAGCGGGCCGAUCGAUCCUGACCUGGACGAGGUAGAGGCCGGCGGUGCCCGCGAAGACUCCCCAUGAGGCGGCAGCGACGACGUCGGUGGACUGGGGGCGGCUGCGGGGCGAGAGGAAGCGGAGGAGGCCGGAGCUCGACGCCGGGAGAGCCAUCGCCGCCGCUAAUCUCGCUUCACCCUUGGCGUGUCGUCGGCGGCAGGUGAGAGGUGAGGGACGAGGAAGAGAGGAGUUCAGUUUUGCCGUUGCGGGUGGGCCUAAAUGGACCUCCAGAGAUGCAGGUGGGCCGAAGCGGGGAGAGUCAGUCAAGCCCAGCUGAUCUUUAUCUCCAAAAGGGCCUGUUUUGAUAAUUUUUGUUGUGGGGAAAAGGUGAUCAGUGAUCGACCAGUUCAGGUCAUACAUGUAGUUUUCUUAGACGGCUGGGUUGUUUCAGGAAUUAUCUGUAUUUCGUUUUCAAAUCAAAUAGACCCCCCUGAGAGCAGUGUGACGUCGACAUGACAACUUGGGAGCGUGAACGCGACUGAAGGAAAGAUACGUACGUGGAAGUUGGCCCACUUGGUAUCUCCACAGUUGAGAGAGAACUCAGUUGUGCACGUCCAAAAAGAUGAAAAGAACAAGGCAGCGUCCACACCUAUAGCUCGGAAUUAUUGCCAUGCAUGCCGCCGCCGGUUAGCUUUUCCAGUGUUCUCUGAUGGAGUUGCACUGGUGUAUCAAAUCUACCAACACUCAGACUGGAGGGAGAUUUUACUUGCGUGGCAGGUGCUUUUCAUCCGCACGUAAAAACUAUCGACCUAAAAAGCACCUGUCGUUUGUGGAAAAACUAGCACAGCACAUCAGUAUCAGAGCCCGAACUUGUGGAUUCACUCAAAGGACGUUAACAAAGACACAGCAGCAGAUUAGCAUUGCUCGAUUGUAAAGUCGUCCAUGGCAAUUAUUGCAGCACAAGCCUUCAACUUAAUUAAGAAACUGACACACUUGGGAGAGUGUGGUAAGUUUAGAAUUAAGAAACUGACACACUCAAAAGGGUACAAAGUAAAAGGUAGAGUGAACACUAGAGGUACUUAGCAGUGCACUAUGUGUAGAAGGUUCAGAGUUCGGAAACUUUUAACCGAAAAAUAGAGCUUAUCUCUUUAGAGUCCUCAGUGGAAAGCUCCGGGAGAUGUCUUCACCUCCUUUUAAUAAGCAGAAUACGCCAAGCGAAAAAGCACUGUAUACUUUUACAGUAACAGUUGUAAAGUUCUCACAUGGCAAGAAAUAUAUUGGAUGCAAAAUGACUUGGGGAGAACUUAGCUUCAGAUGACCACGGACUUCGCCAUGAAGUUUUCUUUGGUUUUCUUUGAUGCUUGUCACCUAGAGAAUGAACUUGUUUUUUAAUCGUUCGAGACCUGCAUGCAUAGAUUACUGAGAUGGAUCCAGCAGAGAACUGAUCUGUCGUAGGGUCCAUCAAUGCACGUGCUGCCUUCACCCGUUGUUGAAUUGAUCAACAAAUCCAAGUUAAAUCAGUGUGACAGCAAUCCAGGUCGACCUCAAAGCCUAGCUAUUAUUGUAGACAGAGUAAUUAACCACUGACCUGCAGAGCUUCUUUUCUGCAGUUGUUGGACUGCAAUUUCCUAAGCGGUCGACUAAUCGUGCAAACUAACCAAGGUCUAAUUCAAGUCACCACCAAUGACAACAACUCAAUUGUAUUCUUACUAACCAAGGUCCAGAAAGAAAUUAAUUUAUACCUUGUGCAUGAACUGUAUUAUUUGAGCUUUGCUUCCAUGCGGCAAUAUGUAUGCUGCUUUCUUUUCAGUGCGUAAAGUGAUUUCAGUUGGGUUCCUUACUCCCUUGGUUGCUCAUCGGAACAAGAAAGAAAAAGAAAAAGAAAAACUAGGCUUUCUUUUCAUGAGAUUUUUUUUUUUGGGGCUCAAAGCAUGCAUAUGCAUGUGUCGAGUGGUUGAGAGCUAGCCAUUUUAAUUUCCAUAUUGUCCGACCCCCCCUAAAAACAAUCGCAAGCACUAUAUAAUAAGGUAAUGUGCUAGUCAAAGUCUUUGGAGUGCAGGACUUGGAAGUGGACGAGAGUGAGCAAUACUGAAGUUGGCCAAGAUUAAGGUUUUUCUAACUUCUCUGGUCACGAGGGGCCUACGUGGAUCUCCAUCGGUCCAACCAAGCAUCGAUGCAGAAAGCUUAGUGGUGGUUACCCGACUAGUGACUAGGCAUGACCUACAACUAGCUUAAAAGGCGAGCGUCCACAAACCGGACUGACACUGACAAACCGUGUACCGAUCCUGCAUGCUUAAUUGAUCAGUUCAUGACAUGCAGCUCCCAACUAAUUAAAGCACACAUUCUGAAUCUUGCCGAGAUUUUGCCGUUGGCACAAUUCUGCAUAUUCCGAUCCGUUUAAUUAAUCAGGAUUAGAUUCACGCAUCUGAUGCUGAUAGCAAUCUCAAUCUUUUGUAGCGGCCCUGAACAAGUUUGCACUUUAUAUCAUGUCAUGCUGAAAAAACAUGCAUGAAGCUGAUUCUGAUUUUCUGUUAUUUUUUCAUAAGAUAACAAAUGCAUGAUGUUUACAGCUGGUAUGUGUUUUGAUCACAACCAAAUUUGGCUGCAAGGUCCCGGACGGUUUAACAAUCGCACACAUAUUGAGCCUUUUGCCACUUGUAUUAUUGUGUAGUUCAAUUCCAAAUGAUAGAACUACUGUUUUCACUCUGAGCAGAAGAAAUCACCUCAAAUGAUUACAAGUAGUGAGCCUAAGCCUGCUUUGGAUUUUUGGAAUAGUCACUACAUUUUCAGGAUCAUACAAUCACAUGCACAUAAUGUACAGAUGCACAAAAUGAGGCAUUAUAUUACAACACAAUACAUCUAUAUAUUUCAGCAAAUAUACAUAUGUAGAAAUCAAACCCUGUUCAGAUGAACUACUACUGGAUCGGAGGUAGCUAGCCUUUAUUGUAUUAACCAUUACACAUCUAUGCAUGUGGAUAUCAAUCUACUCAUUGCUACCACUACUAGUUGUGCAACUAGUGCAUGCAUGCAAAUUGCAAACUUGUCGUCAUUAGCCAUGCAUAUAUGGACGCAUGCAUGCAUCAGCCAUUGUCAGGGAUCGAAGCCAAACAUGUCGUCCUCCCCGGCGUUCCCAAAGGAUCCAAACGAGCCGGUCAUGAACCCGAGGCUGCUAGGGGACGACGGGAAGCUGCCUGCGCCAUGGCCACAAGCCAUGUCGCCGCCGCCGGUCCCUCCCGGCCAGCACUCCGCCGGUGCUGACCCCACCACGGUGGCCGACGAGGCCAUCCCAGCUGAUCCCACCACGGCGGCCAGCUCCCCGGCCGGCGCUGAGCUGCUGCUGUGCACCUCCUCGCUGCCGCAGCGGUAGUAGUCCUGCGCCGGCAGAGAGGAGCUGUGCCCGACCAAGCGAGAGACGAACAUCGCCGGAUCAAAGGCUUGGGGUCGUUGGGGAGGAACGGCGUGCGUGGUCGUGGAUGCGCCCAUGGUGGACCCGAAGCUGAUGAGAUUUGCGCAGUCGUCGGGCGGAGCGGCGGCCUCGAUGACGAGCGGGAUCGUGGAGGGGUCCCGGCAGGUGUGCUGGCCGAAGUAGUUGAUGACGAACUCGGACGGGUUGUCAUCGGAGGCCUGGACCUGCCUGGUCGCCUUGCACCCUUGGUCUGGCUUGUGAGUGCACCUAUAGUAGCUCCUGCAUAUACAUAAGAUGCUAAGCUAGGACUGUAGUAGCUGAUGAUGAUGAGGUUUGUUUUGCUUUUUAAGCUAUAUUAAUCUUGCUACGCAUAGAAGCAACAUAUAUAUGCAUGUUUUUAUCAGUGAAUUGCUGUACAUGCAUGGGGCUAAAAGUAGUACAAAUAGUGCUUUCUAAUUCACUGGAUAGCCAGUUGCAAGUAUUUGAUGUGCCUUUAGUUUUUCUAUAGUAAGCUAGGGAAAAGGAAAAGGAGACAUUUCUUCCCCUAGCUAGGCUUCAAUUAUUCGACCAACUAUCUUUUUUCUAGACAAUGAAGGUAGUCUCGAUCCGCCUCUAUCUCCAGCCUUUGCAUCAACUAGAAAAUCAUGCAUGGUAUAUAAGUUUCUUCGAUCGGUGCGUAGAUCAGAAGCCAAUAAACAACACAUGCAUGUAUAUAUAUACCUUGGGUUAUUAGGCGAGUCUUGAAUAUGUUUUUGGCCGUACUUUCUCCAUGAGUUGCCAUCAUCGAGCGUACUUGUAGUGACUGUCCUCAAGAAGGGGCUGUGCGACCUGCCAUAUACAUAUAUAUAUAUACUAUGAGCUAAUAAGCUGGUUAAUGACCCAUAUAUAAUACGCCAGGUUUUAAUUGGAAUACUACUUUAAUAAUCUAUGGAAGAAGCAUACAAGUGCGGCUAUGAAUAACUAUCGUAAGCUAGAAGCACCAAAACAAGGAUUAACCUUUUUUUUUAUUUACCACAAUUGAAAUCAAGUUGUUAGAAAGAAAGCAAGUUUAGGUUUCUCCCUAUCAUUGGCACAUAAAGUUAAGCCCCACUACUAAACUUAGACAGUCUAGGGAAUUCUCCAAAUUGCAAAAGGAAGCGGCAUAUUAAGGCAAUCAUGGUAUCAUAUCCUAAUGCAUGUAGCUAGCUAGUUGCACGGUUAAUUAUUAAGGGUUUUUGAUGAACUUUCUUCACCUUCUCCUGGUGGUGCUGCUCCGGCGCUGCGGUCCAGAGCCGGUCACCGCGCCAGCUCUCCUCCUCCUCCGGCCCUGUCCAUGGCUGCCGCCGGCGGUGGUGUCCAGAGCUGCCGACAGCGCGCUCGACAGGCUGCUCAUGAUCCCGUCUAUCAGCUCGCUGGUCCCAGGUGCGGCGUCCGCGGGCGUUCCCGGCGGCGUGGGCGACCCCUGCAGCAUGUUCCGGAGCAUCUCCGCUCGCUCACGCAGGUCGAUCAGGUUGUCCACCACCGCCCGAGGAGCCUCGGCAGCAGGUGGUGACGAGCGGCCGCCGCCGUCGGCGGCGCCGCCGCUAGCUGAAGACGCCAUGGUCGCAGCAAUCCACUAGCUAAUUAAGCUAGCUGAGCUAGAGCUGCGGUGCAAGUGCAUGCAUGCCCACCUGCCCGGCCGUAGCUAGAGCGAUAGGGUCGUCGCUGCAGCUGCUGCGGCUUGUUUUUAUUGGCGGCCGCGGUGGGAAGUUGGGAGGAAAAAGAAAGGAGGACGGGGCCGGGUGGGGGAAGGCGAAAGAGGAAGUGGCGUGGAAGAACAUGCAGGCACAAGUGGGCCCCCGGAUGGAGGUGCCGCACUGCGCGCAAGGCGACGAAGCUAGGGGCGGGAGCCGGUCGUCAUCGCUGUGACGCGCCACCGUGAGAUCAGGCGCCACCGUGGGCUCAGUGAUGCAUACCAUGGCAGAGUUGAACAGAUACUUUUCAUGAGAUUAAUCGUAACGAGGGCUAUAGUUAACGAGAAAUGGACAAACACACUAUCACAAGGCAUACAUUUACACCUAUAAACUAAAUUGAUAUUGACGAAAUCACUGCAAAUAUCCCAUUGUCGAUAAAAAUGAUGAGGACAUUAUUUAACGAUCCUCGUGAAGAAUAUAGCUAGUCACCUUCACUAACCAUUCGAGUGAGGCUCCAUGCAUUCGUUUUCUUUUUCUUCUUGAACACCGAUGGUGCGUUGUUGUCUGUCAAUCGUAGAAGCAGCACGUGUUGAGACUACGAAUUUUCAUUCAUUUGCCACGCAGUGAAUUGUGGAGAAAAGGGGCAAAUGUAAGUAGAUCAACACGUACUUGUCUUAAACAUAACAUUUUCUACAUCUUGUUGUACAAAUUGCGCGCCAUGCAACAAAUGGUCCAUGGGAGAGCAUCUUCCAAGCAGACAACUUCAACUCACGGGCAAUUUUCUUAUGAAAACGUGGGCAUCUGGGCUGACUAGUCUUUGCCCUGACACAUGCAUGACGGGAACACGGAGGCCCCCCUUAAGAAAUGAUGAGCCCCACAAGUUUUAAAUCUUUUCGUACGUGGGUAGGCCAUGUCUCUCUCUUCAGUACAUUUCAAGGACGAGACCAGAAAAUUGAGAAGAAAAAAAUGGACAGCUAAAGAGCCAAGUCAGAAGAUAAUAAUAAUUAAUAUUGCCUAAUUAUCAUGUCGGCUUGCAUAGCUGAAUGAACUUGUUUACCCCAAAUUAUAUAAUCCAGUUUAUAUGUGUGGAAGUAAAAACCUAAAAUGGUCCAGGACAGCUUAAAGCACUAUAGAAGCUAGAGGAGCUUAACUUAUAUAAGCUGCUUAUAAGUUUCGGAUGAGCUUAUCUAAACUAGAUUAGAGAGUUAAAAAAUAAACCGGAUUAUAUAAAGCUAGGGGUAAAGAACAGGCCCAUACUCAACGCAAGUCGACAUAGGAAACCAGUAGUGAGCGUAACCCAACCCAGAUGCACAAACUCCCAGCCAACGCCCAAAUUAUUACUAAUACGAAAUACGGCAUCAGCAUGCGCAUUCGUAAAGCUCGGCUGCAUCUGGCUCACUGAACAACCAGGACGAGAUUCCCAAAAAAUAAAGCGAAGAAAUGGCAUAUUGGCACAUCUACGGAGGAUGACAACUGACAGUCGUAUUCCAGAAAAAAAAAUACUGGCUCGGACACCACCAUCUAAAAUUGACCUUUCAAUUAGUAGCCUAAAUGCGGCUGCGUUCAUGAAUCACGAUACACCUGGCAUAAGUCGAUGACAUGUCCCUGGUCGAACUGCUAUAUCUGAACUAUACAUGCUUCUGAAUCCUCGAUACGAAAAGUUAAGACAUCUGUUAGCUUAUUGUUGAUUGUCCGGUUGCUCCAUCAGUCGCCUUCUUUCAGCAGCUAACCCAGCUGCGACGGAUGGAGGCAAACUCCUCAAGCUAUCAUCAUGAUCUUCAUUUGCCAGUUCUGGGGGUUCAUCAGGUGCUGUCAUUGGGAAUAGUGACUCGACAUCCUUCAGGGUCAAAACAGGUUCAUCUUUGAAAUUUUUGGACUUUCGGUUUAUAGUAGAGCAGACAGCUCUGCUCCUGUUUAAUCUGUAGAUGCUCUCUUCUAUUGUUUUCUUCACCUAAAAGCAAAAUAAGACAUUAUAAACUGUCUCCACUAAUUAAUGUAAAUUUAAAAAAUAGGAUGUGCACUCACUAUAAAACGGUGAACAAAUGUGCUCUUGUCUUGCCCAACUCUAUGGAUCCUGCUGAUAGCCUGUGCCUCAGCCGCAGGGUUUAGUAAUGGCUCCACUAGAAUAACAUGCUGUGCUUCCAGCAGAUUAAGACCAUUUGCUCCGUGCUGUAUAAGCAUCAGCAGUACUUGAACAGGCUGCAUUUUGGAGACUGUCUUUUUCACUUUAUCUACAUUUAUAUUGCUCAACUGACCUUUGAACUGGGAGAGCGCUGACUGUGAUUUUCUGAAAAGGAAACGAACUAGCAUGUAAGUACUUCCUCAUUAAUAACCAUCUAGCAGAAAGAUAUAAAAAAGAAAAGGAACAGUAAAAGGCCAAUCAAGACCUUGAUUCAAUAUGGGUUGAGAUAUCUCACCUUCCUCCUUUCAUCCGAACAUAUGAAAUGUUGUUAGCCGCAAGGGAGUGCUCUAAUACAUCGAGCACAUCAUUCCAACUUGAGAAAACAAGAACUUUAGCUGUUCCAUCAGUUGAAGUGAUUCUCAAUAUUCUUCUUGUGACGGCUUCAAUCUUCACCAGAAAAAGAUAAAACAGAAGGUGGGAUUAUUACACCAAAAUUCAACAUACAAUAAGCAAACAAACAAGAAGUGUUGGAGCUUGCUAAAGUAUGGCCUAUAUUUUUUACUCUGCAAACAGUUAACAGCAAGUGCAUUAUAGAAGUGUAGUUGAAUAACAUUUCAGGAUUCUUGAAAAUAUAGUCAUUCCAUUUUGCGAGAUUACAUGAUUAAUCAUGUAUUCAUGUGAUUGGCCACAUUGACACAAAGGCCCUACUUUCCAAUGAUAAUUUUGCAAGUUACAAAUCAAAUAACCAGUAACCGUAGAUUUCAAGUGCAGAACACAUAGAACAACCACAAGGAAGGAGAUGGCAUGAAACCUUUGUUCCAUAUGAACCUUGGACAGAAAUAGUGCUUUCAGUCAAAUCUUCUGCGCUCUUUUCAGCUUUGUCACUUUGUUUCUCAACUACAAAAGCCACAUUCUCAAGAUCUGUACGUUGACGGCAUGUAGGGCACAUGAUCCAUUUUUUACGUUUCCCAAAUUGUGUUGCAGCUUGUUCUGUCAUGUAAAGACAGCCUGAGAACAGUAAGCAGAUAAAUAGUCAAGGCCAGGAAUUCACUAAUCAAUAUCCAUCAUAUGAACAAACAAUUGGCAUGAUUAUCCAACUAUAUACCCUGAUGCUAGAUUAGCAUAAUACUUAGCUUUAAGAUUGCUCAAGUAAAUUCCAGCAAACAACAACCAGGCAGGCAUGUAACAGUAGUAUUUAUGCUAUCUACUGCUUUUCUUCAAAUGACGGCUUUGAAGAAAUUUUGAAAAUAAAACUAGCAUGGAUACUCACACUUGCAGCACACGAAAUGACCACACUGGAAAACCAUUUUUUGGUCAAAAACCUUCUCCUGGCAAAUUGGGCAUGGUUCAUUACUAAUAUCAGAAAUGGUUUGUCCUGUAACAGAACAUGAAGUAGCUAUAUCAACAGCAUCGCCUGCUUUAGGCAAUGAUUCGCCAUGCUUGUUAAAUGUUUUCUUGUUACAUAGCGCCAAUCCCUAAAGGCACAAAUGCAAUCAGUAGCAAUAAAAACACACACUAAUCCAAGAUAGUAUCAUAGUGCAAUCUUUGGAAAUAAAAGUCAUGCAAGCUGUAGACUAGAAUGUGAACUUAUAUAGCAAAAGUUUACUGAAAGUUAAUACACACCUUUAAAUACCGGAGUUGGCCCCUUACACGGGCUAAAGAUGAGAGAGACAUGAAUUUUUCACUUGUAAACUGGACAUUAUAUGGUAUGAGUUCCUCUCUAGUUACAAUAUCGACAGCGCUAGGUUCAUCAUCUUUCUCUUUGAGCUGCAGUCUUGAGAUAGACAUCUUGAUCUCAUCAUGAGCACGCAAUAAUUGAUUUUGAGCAAUUGACAAAAACCGUGCUUGAGAAAACUCCUUGCGCAUAGCCUCAAUCACCAUGUCAUGGCCAAAUUUGUUAGUUAGCAUUACAAUAACCAGCUUGAGCAUGCCAAAAGAGAAGGAAACAAAAUCUACCUCAAAAAGAAGUAAAUGCUUUUUAGCAAUUGCAGAAUACUGCCUUCCCAAUACUGUCUUUGAGUGAUUUUGGAUAACCCUCAAUGUGGUCUCAGUUCGAGAAGGAUGCCUGUAGACCUGUAAACAUUGGCAGUACAAAACAUAUAAUAUUGGAUAGCAAAUAAAUGGUCAAAGAUUAUGAAGUUUGAAUCUCAAAAUGUGUGCAUGCCUUAGAGAAGAAGACACAGGGGAGAAGACAAAUGGUGCAACAUUAUUUUCAAGAGUUGGGGUUGCAAUGUUAUCCUAGAAAAAAGUGUGGACAAGAGAAGUGACAACUAUUUAACUGUACGAUAUGCAGAAUAAAAGUAUGUAACAUACCUGUAUGUUUUCUCGAGCCGACCUAGGAUUAUUAUUGUCAUAACCAGGUUCAGAUCCCUCAUUGGAUUUUUUAUUACGGAAGAAGUGAUUGAGCUCAUAUUUUCGCCUCUGUAGAUCAUGUGCUUCUUCUACUGUAUCAAUGACAGAAUCAUUGUUCGAUUUCUUAACAAGAAACAGCCGUGCUUCAUACCUCUAAAAGAAACGAUAAGAUUAAAUUGAUACAUGAUUAAUCUCAUAGGGACAUAAAUACAUCAAAAAGCAUUGGUGUGUGACUACCUGAAAGAGUUCAUCUAGCUCACAUUGGAUACAUAAAGAACCAGAACCAUCAUAACACUUUGGACAAUAUCGCUGACCCUCAAUGUCCUCAUCCCUUGGGUUAUCCAUUGUGUUGUCAACUUCCAAAAGUCUAUCCAUCAGUCGUUGCCUUGAACUUUGUAGAGAAUCAAUAUCAGCUUGAAUUGCAUAUUUUAAGCCAGCAAUACUUUUAACCCUGUGAAAGAACAAAACAACCAAGUUAACUAUCAAGUAAAAGAAGAUUUUAUUUAGUGAUAUGAAUUCUUGAACAGAAAAAUCACCAUAGGCACCAUGGAGAAUAAACUAAAUAAAGAAACCAACAGAAAUAAGUUUGCUAUAGACCUGGAAGAUAUUCCCCUUGAACCCAAACCAGUGGUGCUCUUAGUAGAAGAAUUAUCAAUCUUCUUAAGGAGUUCGCCAGCCGAAACAUUGCUCUGGUCAAUGCAGUCCAAAGCAUGUAGCCACCAAUUCAUAUAAUCAUUCUGUAGCUCCCUAGUGAUAUUCAAGACCUAAAGGCAGCCAGAGGCUCAGUAUGAGGGAGAAAAGGGAAAGGCUUGGAUCACAUAACAUUUACCAAGGAUUAGGAAUAUAAAAGAAGACAAGAAAAUAUAAAUAGAUUAAGAUAGCUUGUGCAAAUACAAAAAUAAGAAGUGUAGUGAUCAAACCUCUGUGAAUGAUGCAUUAAAAUCCUUCUGUGCUACUAUCAGCCUUGAAGUAAAAACUGACAAGUACUUUUCUGUGAUUGCAUUGCAAGUCUUCCUCAAGCACUCAUCAGCAAAACACUUUGAUGAUGAGUGGCCUCCAGCAAAAUUCUCUGUGUCCAUUUCUCCAUUUGUGCAUGCUUGUCCAAUAACAUUUUCAUCUUCCUCAAACGUUUCUAAACCAUUAGCUGUCAAACUCGAAACACCGUUCUCACAUAUUUUAUUUCGCUUUAUGAUACAUAGAUCUGUCUCAACAGUGCUAAUCUCCUUUCUUUUCCGGCCGAUGUCAACUUCAGAAGCCUGCUUUUUUAAUGGGCACUCUUGUAAAUAUUCAGAACUAGUUCUGAGCAGUUCCGCAAGAUUGUAGUUGAUAUGAAGAUUCAAUAGAGGGUCAACACGGAAAUCAUCAACAUUUUCAUCAGCCAAAGCUAGUGCUUCUUUGUACAAUGAAAUGGCUUCUUGGUUCUUUUGUUCGAUAGCAGCUAGCCCUGCAAGACCAUUCAGGGCAACUACAAUUUUCCUAAGCUCUUCCUCUCCUUCAAUUUUUGCUUUACCAAUAAGGACCUGGAUACAAAAGUAUUACCAGCCCACUGAGAACAUUAUUAAAAAGUUGCACUACAAAUAUUAGGUGGCAACAAGGACUGUAACAUUAUUAGCUAUUCACCUGUAAAAUCUCAUCCAUUGACAACGGGUUAUGCUGCAGGGAGCAGAGACCAGAACUCCCAACUUGCGGGUGGCAGCAUGCCUGCCGAAGUUUCAGCAGUGGGACUAGGAGCUUGACAAUGUCAUCAUUGGAGAGGUAAACAUUUAGUAAAGCAUUUGAAUCUGCAAACACAAGGUAAAAAAGAAGCCUAAGAUUUUUUGGAAAAAGGGAAUAUAGUGUGGCAACUGUCGACCACCGAGCAACAUGUUUAAUAAAAAGGGCCUACCCAAUGCUGAAAGCUCCCACACAACACGACAUGGGGUUCUGGGAAAGGGAACUUUUAGGCAGCCUUACACAAGAUGUAACAGUCUUUGAAAAUUUGCUAUUACCUACGAAUGCCUCUGAAGCAGAAAGUCUUGCAGCUUUGUUUUGAGUGGGAUAUGGAGAACAAGAGAAAUGUAAAUUUUGGAUAUUAAAUCAUCCCAUUAGCCAGUCAUGUGAGACAAACAAAGCAAGGAAAAGGAAGCAGAAAGUAAUAGUAAAAUCUUUUCGUCUAUAUUAUGUGCUUAAGAAAUGUCCUUACCAGCUAGUUUUUUUGCUCAUAAUAUCUAUGAAAUAGAAUGAAAACCCAGACCCAGAGAAUCGAUGUGGAAACCUGAAAUGAUUGAUUUGGUGAACAAAGUACCUGAAGUUGAUUCCUUUCUGUUGACAUCAUUUCUCAAACUUCUAAUAAUCUGAUGUGCAUGGUCCAUGCAGGUUGCAUGCUGCUUCUUAUAGAAAUAUUCUUCAAUGGAAGAAAAGAUGAGCCAUGAAAAACACUCUUCUUGAGGAGGAAGCUGUAGUUCACCUGAGACAUGAACUUUGGAAGAGCGCCACAUGAUUUCCCUAAAGAAAUUGUGUGCAUAAUUCAUAGCUAUUUGGUCCCCCUUCUGCAGUUUGUUCAAUGAGACAAAAGAAAAUAAUUAUUCAGUCCAGCUAUCUCACUAAAAAGAUGUUAUCAAAGGCUAGCAACAAACGUUACAUGCAAAGCUAUGGUAAUAUUAUUCAUAUCAAGGCGUACCAAGUAAAGACAAGCAUUACAUGCACAGCUAUGGCAAUAUUAUUCAUGAUUCUUGUAUUGCUAUACAAAGCAAUAAACUAGCACUAAACUUGUCAUUGUAUCAUGCCUGCCUAUGUUUUCAGACUACAUGGACCAGAUGGUAAGAAGACCCAACAAGCUCAGUGUAAGACACAUACUAACCAGAUUUCUCGUAUUUCACCAUAUCCAUCACCAACCACCACAAAAUUAUGUUGUUCAAGUUGUCAGCCUAAGCAAGUGAUUAACAGUUUAUGGUGCUUAAGUUGUCAGCCUAAGCAAGUGAUUAACAAUGCCUUCCAGCGUCAGCAUGUAAUAGACACACAGUUAACAGUAGCACGCAACAUACCUCAUAUGGGUCUCUAAUAAUGUCCACCCACCAUCUAUAUGUGUCAAAUGGGCUUGUCCUAAGAAAACGUAGAAGCCCAAAGAGAUCAUCAAGCCUGCGUUGUAUCGGGGUUCCUGUGAUACACCAACGGUGUUGGGCAUGUAGCCUCAUCGCCAUCUCAGUCACAGAAGUCUUGCUUGACUCUACCAUCUGAGCUUCAUCCAAACAAAGCCGCCACCAGUGGAUCCUUGUCAAGACUGUUGGAAUGACGGGAUAUCUAUAGAGUGUAAUGACAGUUCAGCAGAGUUUCAGGGUGAGUCAUUUUAAAUUUUGCAUAAAUGGUACACCUGGAUAACACAUGGGAUGCUUACAAGACUGUAAGCACUCAAAGGAGUAUCCAGACCCAACAAGCUAUUUCACUUCUAUUUCAGCUUUUAUCAGUGUACCCUGAUUCUAAAUGAUAGAUAAGCUCAAGUUAGUUAUCCUUUCAGCUUUACUAGGUUUUUUUUAUAACCACAUCAUGCCAGAUCACUAAAAAGGUGUCGUAAUUCAAAAAAAUGUUAAUCAUGAACCCAACAGAACACCUCAAAAAAAUAAUAAAGAAAAAGGUACAGAUGCACAGUGUUGUGCAGGUGUUUUUGACAGUGUGCACGGCCUCUCUUUUUCCCUCUUCUUAAUAUAUAUGACACGCAGUUCACCAGCGCGUUCAAGAAAAAAAAAAGAUCCUAUUCAGAGUAGUUUCAGCUCAUUGACAUCUUCGCAAGGCAGAAGCAUGUAUAUGGGUCAUGUAACUCUGCUACUUGUAGUUAUUGUUUCAAUUUAACUUUACCUGUCAUGUUGCAUUUCCCAACCCAAAAAAACCAACAACAAGAAACCCCAAAAAACACAUUUGCCUCAAAGAUGAAAAGAUCCAUGACUUCCUGGUAAAGAAGAAAGGUAUGUUUCCAAUUAUUUACAGAGGGAGUUAACUACUGGAAUCAGUCUGUCCUAUCAUGUCAGCCUUCAUUGUGAAAAAAACAUUACUUGCCUCUUCUGAAAUCUCAAGAAACGACGAUCACCAUCAUGCCGAUCAAAAUCAUGUGAUAGAUCUUCUUUCAAGACAUCAUAGGUUGUCAGGACAACAUCAGCAGUACUUAUAUCAGUCAUAUCAAUUUUUUGGAUGGUAGCCAGAUCUAAGUUCCUUGCACCUUCAUAAAUGCAAACUUUCAGAGAUCCUGGCCUUGUGUGCCUUGAGUUAAAGAAAACAGCUAUUAGCACUAUCAUUAUAUGCAGAUAACAAUACCAUAAAAAAAGAGAUAAGCCGAAACACUUAAAGAAUAAAAUUGGAUAGGGCACUUGAAGCUUCAUUCUUGGUAUAGAUUGUAUUAGAGUGGGAACAUAUUAUCUAAAAAGCUUGUUAUCAUAAGCACUCUUAAUUCUUAUAGAUCCAACAGAAGGAUUUUUAAAAUAAAGUUGUGGAACUUCUAGAACACCGAAAAAUGCAAGCAGUGAAGACGAGAUUGGGUUGUGGCUAGCAUGGUGUGAACAAAAUAAUAAUCCUACAUUGUAAACAAGAGACGGAGAUCUCAAAUCUGAAAUUAACAGCAGCACAUAUAGUGUUACACAUUAUCUUGAUAUAAUGAUGUUUAGCUCAGAAAAACUGAAGAACGUUGAUUCUGCUAUUGGGAAACUAUUGACAAAACUGUUCAACUAACAUUUUGAUAAAAGGAAUCAUACCGGGUAAUCUCAGAAUACCACUGUGCCAAUAUUGGCGCUGGACAUACUAUUAAUGUAGCAUGGCUGAAUAUAUUAGUUUGAGCUGCUUCAGUAAGCUCCAAGCACAGUGCACAAACAUAUUUGUCUUCUGUAUCAACAAUAGAGCACCAGGGUUUCUUUUUCCUUCUAAUCCCAGGCUUAUUGUCACUUUUUUCAUAUUUUGAUGCUACAUCUUCAGUGGUGUUAUCAAAAUGUAUAUCUUCUUUGGGUGCAUAACCAACACAAUCAGCAUGUUGCCAGGCAUCACAAAUGUCGCAUUGAACCCACAGACCCUUGUAUGCAGAACUUUCACUCGCAGCCCCACAAACGCACUCAACCCUUUCUACUUUCUGCCUCUUUGUUUGAGGCAUUUCAGUUUUGUUCUGGGAGAUAGAAAGGCCAAUUGAAGAUGGCCUACUAUGGGCAAAAAUGCAAGCUAAAAGCUCGACAGUUUUCCCCAAGCCCAUUUCAUCUAUAAUCAAUCAAGCACACAAAAGGAAUGUCAGCGGAAACUAUCAACAGAAGUGAAAACCAUGAAAGAAGUAUAAUCAUGAAUUUAUUAUCACAGUUGUUAUCAACAUACCAGCCAAAAUGCCCCCAGAAACAUAAGGUGGAGAAGGCUCUGGUCGCAAUGAAAUAUUUCCGCUGCAAAGUAACAGAUACAUGAAAGUCUGAGCCAUUCACAGAAACAAUUAAAUUUUAUAAUUCCUCUGUAAAGUAACAUAUAUGUGAAAAUCUGAGGCAUUCACAGGAACAAAUAAAUUUUAAAAUCAAGACUGCGGAAACAUUAUGUGCUCGGAAAACAAGUUGCUUGAAUAGUACAACAAUAUGAAAGGAACUUAAGUAAUCUCUAGUAUAAUUAAUACUGCAAGCUACAAACAUAUCAACCAGAUAUGAUUAGCGGCUACGCACUUCAGACUUACUUGAAAGGAUUGUAGAACAUACUGGAGUUCUUGUGAAUAAAAUCGAUAGGAACACAAUAUGGUGCAGAAUAAACAUAUUCAUGAUGGAGAAUAUUUCCCUUUUCACGUUGAACCAUCCAAUGUGCUGCACGGAGUUGAUAUGGCCUGAGCUGAGGAACUAAAUCAGGAAGACCAACUUCCAACUGUUCCGCGUUACUAAUAACAGGAACAAAAAAAAAGUAUCAUACAACAGCAAGAAAAAAGUAUGUUAUAACUAAGCUUUGUAAUACUUUGUAUAACUCAAAUCAUAGAUUCUGACAAAGCAGGCACAUAUGGUAUACCAUAACAUCGGCAGCAAGUACUUAUCUGAGUUUAAAUGCUCUCCUACAUGGCUACAUUCAUGUUAAAGCACAUGAUUAUGAGCUUAGAGUAACAGUGAGAUGUAAGAUACUCACAUCGAAGGCUUAACUGCCUCAUAAAAAGCAGCAAGAUCAAACUGCGAAUCACUUUUAGGUGUGAAAUCAGCAUUAGCACCAUCAUCCAUCGGCACACCAAGACUAUCCAUCCUAUAUAUUGCAGCCGACGUUGUGACCUCAGGACGCAGCCAAGCCAUCAUAUUCAUCAAGCUCUUCCUCCAUGGAUGCCUAGCCACCUCCAGCAGCGAUUCACACGCGCUGAAAGCCCCCUCCAUCACCUCCACUCUAACCCUGAAUGAUUCAGCCCGCGCUUUGCCCACAUCCCGAAACGCUCUAAGCGAUUGAACGCGCAGGGUGACGAAUCUCAAGCUCACCAAAUGGGCGAGGCCGGAUACACCUUCAUCAGGACCAUCAAAACACCCUGACACCACGAGUUGUUCGUGUUUCUCUUCGCGAUCCCCAUGGACGACAUACUCCAGGAGCACGCAAUCCGACGGCACAACGGGCCACUGGCCCAUCCUGAACCCCUCCUCCGGCGCGUCACGCACAAGCAUACGCAAGGAGAACCUUGAUGCCCCGAAUGCCUCCUCCAACGCCUCCUCCCCGUCGUCGGAGACACUCACGUCUCGGAGGACUACCUCGGCGACGUCGCGGUGGUCGGCGUCGGCGAGCCCCCACGUGCUCCUAUCCACCUCCACGCGCACGUCCCUCCUCGCCUCGCCCUUGGCCGCACGCUUCGUACCCCCGCUGGGGCCCGGCGCGUCGGGGUCGGCCUCGGCCGCCGCAGACGCGGCGCCCGCCGCUCGAACCGGCCGCGAUUUCUUCCUCCCCAUGUGUGAUUCAGCAGUGUGCUGAACUCUUAGGUGGGGGUUUUGGACGCCGGAGCAGAACUGGGCGCGGGUAUUCGAGGAAAUCUCGCGGUGUUUCAGUGAUUGGAGUUCGAGCCCUCGGAUUUUUGAGAAGAGAGGGAGGACACGGGAGCAAAGACGAGUGGCUGGGGCAUACGGGGGUAGAGAUUGAUGACACGGCGGAGGUUUUAGGAAGAACCGGCCGGCGAACUGCCGGGAGAGAAUGGAGGAAGGGCGGUUGAGGUUGAUUUUUUUUUUCUUUUCCGAAAGACGGUUGAGGUUGCCAAUUCGUCAAAUUUGAUCUUGAAGCUGGUGAGCGUUGCCAAUUCGUCAAAAUCAAUCACAAACUCAAGUAAGAAGGUUAUUGCGUCAUAAAUUUGAGACUAUAUCAAAUUAGCAAGGGUACGUUUGGAUCCGACACUAAGAUUUAGCUAACUAAAAUUUUAAAACUAAAUUUUGGCCAGUUAAAAUUUGUCCCAGCUAAAUUUUAGUUGAGAUAUUUGGAUCCUCCGGCUAAUAGAUUAAGCUAAAAUUUAGCUGGCUUUACCAAUAUAUUGAAACAGCUAAACUCAGCUAAACUCUAGCUGGUCUUUUAGCUGCCGUUUGCAUUCCUAGCAGCUAAAUUUAGCCAAAGCUUUAGUUGGUGAAUCCAAACAAGCCCUAAAUACAUUGCCCAUCAAAUUAAUAGACUUUAUUGAUUUUUUUUACUUCAAUUUUUAUCCCUCUAUGUAAAAUAACGCAAUAACUUUUUAUACACUACCUUAACCCACGUAAUUGAAUGAUAUAUAUUAAACUAGCAAGCUGAUCCGCGCAAAUAGUAUUGGUAGCUAGUAGAUUUUCAUUAUUCUCCAAUCUCCAAUUCUUAAAAAUUGAUGCAUACAUGCACCUAUAUUGUUAUAUUGUCCUACGGUUGAUGCAUUUUUUCUCCAUUACCAUGUACAGGGUCUACAAUUGCAGGUGGCAAUGUAUAACCUUCUCCUUAAUGCCUACCAUCCUCUAUGGUCAUCGUCACCUUCUCGGAUUCUGACUCAUGUUAGCUUUUUUUCUCUCAUUUCUAUUAAUAUAGUUGUUCCCUAUAAGCUAGUGCUAUUAAAUUGUGCUUCUCCACCGCCAUUCCUAUGAUUCUUUUGGGAUUGUUAACACACUUCGUAAAUUGAACACUAAUGAGUAGUUUGGUAGGGCAUCGUCUUCUUCUGAAGUUUAUUUAGUUUUGGCUCAACGGUGAAACCACAUAUUUUCUGGAGCCGAAACCAUUUAAUUUUUUUUGGCAAAGCAGCUUCUUAAUGUUAAUGUGGUAAUUCUGAGAAUACUUUAAAGCUUGAUGGGAGAGGAGAAGUCGGUUAAAGCUUUUUUUUACUCCUCCUCUCUACUAUAAGCCGUUUUGAGAUUUCAUGUAGGCUUCUUGGUGAAGCCGUUUUAAUUUUACCUAUUUCAUAGAACUUUAUUGAAAGUUGUUGGAGAAACUAAUGGAGAAGCCCCAGCUGUCGGUGUUUUUAUCGUCAGCCUGCCUAGGGAUACCCUAAGAUAGGUGAUUAUUUGGUGAGGGAUCGUCGGAUCUGAAAUUUGAAGGUGAACGCAAGGACAUAAGAUACAAAUUUAGAUAGGUUCGGGCCGCUAGAGUAGCGUAAUACCCUACGUCCUGUUUUGGGGUGUUGUAUAUUGCGCCCUGCGCUUGGAUGUUGAGCAGCCUGUUGGCUGCUCUCUGUUGGUUCUCUAUUGGUUCUCUUUCUGCCUAUCUAGGUAUCCCCGCCCUCCUUUAUAUAUCCCAGGGGACGAGGUUCCUAGUAGGAUUACAAGGUAGGAGUCCUAAUACGAUUACAAGGUAUGAGUCCUAAUAGUAUUACAAGGUAUGAGUCCUAAUAGGAUUACGGUGGAAUUCUAGUAGGAAUCAGACUUCUUUUUCCUUACAUGUAGCUUCUUUACGGUACCCAGAGGAUCUAUCCCUGACACCAGCAAACAUAUCCUAAUAACUGUCAUGGUUACAUGUGCUAUAGUUAUAGGUGCUGGUGUUUGAGAUAUUAAAAUAUGAUGAAGGGCAUGUUAAGACUCAAUGAAUACCAUAGUCAAGCCACUACUUAGGUACCAAUUUAUUAUGAUGAUUGAUUUGUAAUAUUUAAUAUUUAUUUAUCCGUAAAUCUUUAAGUAGAAGCGUUCAUCUUUCCAAUGUUUUGCAAACUAAUACUGUAGUAAAAAUGAAUGCUAGAAGGUGACAAUUGUCAUGACAAAGUUGUUGUACUCUACAAUGCUGGAUAACUAAUCAAGCAAGAUGUACAUCACCAAAGUAAUGAUUAACUCAUUAUGAAGCAGCAAUGAAAGUUGUACCAGUAGUGACAAUAGCCUGAAAAAUAGGUACAUGUGUUAUUUAUGUGUUAUUUAAUUAAUUUUCUUAGAAAUUGAAUAUCAAUUUCUGAAAUAUCAGUUUUUAUUAUUUUUCUUGUAAUUUAGUUAUUCACUUAUUCGUUAUUUACAUAGACUUUUUAAUUUUUUUAUUUUCUUCAAAAUUCAUGUAGAAUAGUUUUUUAUUAAUUUAAUUUCGAGUUAAGAUAUAUAUUAAUCAUAUUCAACGAACUCUUUCGAUUAAUAUAAAUCGUUAGAUUAUUAUAAAAAUUGCUGCUAUAUAUAUUCCUAUACUUUUAAAUGUAUAGCUUAAAUAUUUUGAUAUGAGCUAUUUACAUAUGUAAUUUGCUUCCUAACUCAAUAGGAAUCAAGAUAUUUAUUCUUAUUAUUUUACUUUACUUAGCUAUUUUUAUUCAAAAAUUCAUAUACAAAUUAAAUACUAAUUUGUUAAUUUUAUUCUAAAUUUAGCUAUUUGUUUAUCAUAUUUGACAUGAAAUGCUUGUGAACUUCUAAUUCCUUUCUUAACUCAAAUUUAAUUAUUUAUUAUUUGUAUUUGACCUAUAUUAUUUAUAUUAGCUAUUUUUCCUAAUUUACUUCUGCUAUACAAAUCAACUGCCAUUUUUUGGUUUAUUAAGUUUUGAAUUUAUCUAUUUAUUAGUUGCGUUCGAUAUGGACUCUUGGAUCAACUAAUAAUUUUCUUAUUUUUUGAAUUUUAUAUUUAACUAUUUACUAAAAGUAUUAGGCAUGGACACUUUGAUCAUGUCCUAUCUUUUUCUUAACUUUUAAAUUGUAAAUUAGCUGUUUAUUAAUCGUAUUUGAUAUGAACUCUUGUUAGUUUAGACCAUUAGAUUUUUAUAAUAUUUAUUGUCACACCAACAUCGUUCUUAGCUUUGCGUUGAUCGCCAUUAAAUUUGGAUUUGCUAGAUUCUUCAAUCAGCAAAUUUGCUUGCCAGGAAAAUUAAUUCUGAAUUGCUAGCGGAAGGAUAAUAUUAUAUAAUUGCUAGUCUCUUUCGGGAUUACAUAAAAGAGAAGUAUAGACUAUAGAGUAUCCGAAAUUUAUAUACAAUACACAUUGCUCGUAGGAGGAUAAAUAAAAUUAAAUAAAUUAGCCUGCGCGGCACGCUGAGAAUCAGCAUCAGCAACAGCAGGAGACCAUGGUGAGGGUUAGUUGGUGUUGGUCACUUUCGCCGUCCGACAGUGGACGCUUGGACUCGAGGCCAUCCAGCAAGAGCACCACACCAUCCUCCGUCCCGAGCAGAAACCUGCUGCGGCUAACAUGCAAGCAGGCAGCUGUUCAGAUUGAAUUGGCAUUCAGGAGCUCUGUAGUUUGUUUAUUCUUUUUUUAGCAAGCUUUGUAUAGUUCUUCGCCGCCGGUAAAAUCUUCGACAUCGUUGAGAUCGUUGCGCUGAGUAAAGUACACGUUGCUAGCACAAGAACAAAAUUAUUAACGUGUAUAUGAAUUGGAAAGAUUCCAGUUGUGUCCGACAUGGACUUCAUGCUGCACGAUAUCUGCUAACAUAUUAGUUGUAUUGGAAUUAGAUAUAAACUCUUUAGGGCGGUCUACGCCAUGAUCUAGCGAGCUUGUAGAUGUACUUUCUUGCAUGAAUGCUUACCAAAUUUAGGUACCUUUUAAUUGGAUAUGACACCUGCCCCUUUAUUUAACUAUUUUUCUUUCCAAUUCGUUGAAUCCAUAUGCUAAUUUUAAAUUUUCAAAUUUAUAUGUAUUUAUUAGUUGGAUUUGAUAUGGACUCUUUAGAUUAGUUUAAACCGUUAGAUCUUUAUAAAAUCCAACGGUGUAUAUCUUUCUCUUUUUGAUUAAUUAUGUGUAUUUAUUAGUUGGAUUUGACAUGAAAUCUUUGGGUUAAUUUAGACCGUUAGAUCUUCAUAAAAUCUAACGGUGUAUAUCCUUGUUUUUAUUAAUAUGGGAAUUUCUAGACUCUCUCGGUGAAUAUGGUGGCUUAUUUUAACACUCCCUUAUUAAUAUAAUAGAUAGAAUAUAGUUCGAAUGAGACCUCUCACCCUGUAAGGUGGACCAGAUAUGGACCGAAAAGCUAUUAUGGAUCAACACGACACAUAAUCUUUGUAUAUCAACCUGUAAUAUAGACCUAUAUCAUGUAUCUAUAUCAUGAUAAUAUAAAGAGCAUAACGUUCACUCUAUUUCAUGUAAACAAAACAAUCAACAUUCUCGAGUUAAUUACAUACAACAAAAAAGAUUUUUUGAUUCAAACUACUACAAUGUCUUAGCACUCAGCUUUGUUGUUCCCAAACAAUGUCUUAAUGCUCAUUCUUUCUGAGAUUCGUAAUGCUGUGUACUUACACAUUUCAUUAGCACAGCAUUUUUCAAGCUGGAAAAAAAUGGACAAGCAAACGGCCUAUGAAUCCAACUGCACCUAAAAUGAAUGGUAACGCUAUACCUAUAAGAAUUCUAACAACCAAAAAAAAUUGGAGCAAUCCAAUUCCAAAAGCCUCUAAAAAUGAUGUAGGCGAUAAGAAGGUAUUAAAUACCUCAUCUGAACGAAUAUGAGGAAUCAGGAUUUGAACCCUGAUCGGCUAGCUCUUCCCAAGGACACUAGCCAGCUGCAGUAAGGCAGCUUCUCAAGCCUCUAUCCCUCAAAUAUAUACAAGCCUAGCAACCCUGCUAUCAUUUGAUCCGGAUGGCUCCCGGUGCAGGGAUCCCCUUGCCGGGCAUCCCUGGGACUGGGAGCGGCCAACCAGAGCCUCUCGCCGCUGAUCUCUUCAGCGUGCCACCGUCUUCCUCAUCCGAGUCAUCGACGUCGUAGUCGUUGUCGUCGACCCAAACACCUUUCCCUUUCCUGUCGUAGUGCCCCACGCUAGGCGUCGUCCGCUCGCUGAAGCUCUCGUACAGGUCAGGGGAGUGCCGCAGCAGCUCGCUCGCCGACCCGUACCCCAUCAGCCGGUGCAGCCUGCCCACGCCUUUCGUCCCGUCGAGGGUGUCGAACGACGUGUUCCUCGACACGUGCAGCGCCUGCUCGUCCUCCGUCGAGUAGCUGCUCAGCCCGAAGCCGUCGAUGAACGGCGCGAAGGGGUCCGGCUGUGCCGCGCAGCCUUCGCCGCCCAGCAGCUCGGAACCGUCUGUGCUGAACUGGUCGAGGGAGUCCAGCAGGCAAGCCUUCUUCCUGGCCGGGUCCCUGUAGGAGUAGGAUAGGACCGUCGAGCAGGAGCCGCACCGCAGCUUGCGCACGGUCUUGGUCGAGACGGCGAAGUCGGCGGGCACCUGGACAAGCUUGAAGCAGCUGGAGCAGAUGAUGAACGGCGCGCCCUUCAGGACCGGCCGGCAGUGGUUGCGGGGCGGCAGGCGCCGCUUGGCCUCCUUUGCUGCCGGUGUCUUCCGCGGCGCGGAUGAUGGCUCCUGCGUUCUGGGCCUGGAGCAGUGUCCACGGCAGCUGCCGCACUCCGGCUUGCCGCGGUGGCGGCAGCAACCGUGAUGGCACGACCUUGGCUGCACGUUGUGGCAGCACGGGUCGGCUCUGCACUGGCGGUAGCGCCGUGACGGCAAGCCACGCGGAGGAGCGGCAACUUGGCCGGGCUUGACCACACGAGCCGGGCUGCCACGGUGGCCGUCGGCAGCAGCAGCUGCAUGACGAGCUCUGGAAUGGAGGCUUGGGGCCACGGCCGCGCGAGACACGUAUCCUUCUUGCUUGGGAAGACGAGGAGGACGCGCGCGUGGCGUUGGAUUGAGCUCUGGGGACUUACUGAAAAGUUCGGAGAGGUCGCCUUUCAGCUCAUCCACCGUCUUCAGAAUCUUCUUCCGCAAGGGCCCCAAGUUUUCUGCUUGAAUCUCCUGGCGAGAUGGGCUCAUCGCCUUUUCCCCGGCAGCAGCAGCUUCCUGUCCCAACGCAUCUCGUGCAGAAUGCGCAGUUGGGGCUUGAGCUGAUUUCGGUGCGAGUUCUUCGCGAUGGUUGUACUGCGGCUGCAUUGUGGCUUCACCUGAAUGUUUCUUUCUUGCAGCAUCGGGUGAUUCAGCCUGGCGUUGCAUCCUCUUCUCAAUAUCAUCCUUCAAUUCAGAAGUAGCAUUUUUGUUUUCUUUGGGAGAAGUAGCACUGCGAUCGGCGCUACCAGCAUCUGCUUGUCUUCGACCUUCAGAAUUGUCAGAGAUCACAUGAUUGGCAGCACUCUGAUCAUGUCCCCUCUUCUCCAUCAGUUCCACUUGCUCAGAAACACGAUUCCUCGCCGACACGAGAUCACCGGACUCGCGUCGGCUCGUCGUGGCAGUGCCUUGGCGCCUGCUGCUUGUGGCAACUGCAAUGCUGCUACUGCUUGCAACAUCACCGGAAUCGUGCUUCCUCGCCGACACAAGAUCGCCGCUCGUGUGAGUGCCUUGGCGCCUGCUACUUGUAACAGUAGGAGUGCUGCUGCUGCUGGCAACAUUCCCGGAACCAUGCCUCCUCGCCGACACGAGGUCACCGGACUCACGCAGGCUUGUCGUGUCGGUGGCUCGGUGCCUGCUGCUGGUGGCAUCAAGGGAAGUGGGGGUGCUGGACCUGCUGGUGCUGGCGACGUCAGUGGAGUCCAAGUGUCUGCCCUGAGGAGGCAGCCCACUCCUUGAGGGCGAAGCCCUUGGCGCGUCUCCUGCGCUGCCGGUGCGGUUUUUGGCUGUACGAGCACAGGAGAACCCAUCAGAAAUCUGCAGUGUGACCAAGCAUCCAAAUGCUAGCGAUCAAAACAAGAGCUGAACCUGAAAUUACCUCGAAGACUAGUGCCGCAUCCACCGCAUUGGUAGACGGGUGCGCCGGGCUCCUCAAGAACGCAGUGGCACCUCGGACAUCUGACGCGGUGAACCGGCCUGGCGUCUGAAUUUUCCAUGAGCCGACAGGCCCCAGGACAUUAGGAGCUGUCGAUGAUCAGAGAUUCAGAGAACGCUGCCUGCGGUGUCAAUCAAAAAGUUAACAGGAAAACACAUGAGCAUUCUGUUGACAUCUAAUCUUGCACCUUAUAAUUGAUUGAAGAGACGACAGACGAAAACAGGAAACAAAAUUUGUACUUAUAUGUAACGUCUGGUAGCCAAAGUCUGACUUGAGUGCGAACGAUGACAGAGAAAGAACGGUAAGCAUGGAGUAACAGCGACCCCUAUGUUUGAACUGUUCUUUUUGGGGUUUUUUCAGGAAACGUUUGAACUGUUCUUUUCCUUUGGGCAAACAAAUAAGUGCACUAAAAGGCUCAUUACUCCUCCUCCUACUACUACUACUAAAGAGGGAUAAAAUAAAACAGCCAUUAGUCCACUACUAGUCAUUUCAGUUAGGUCGCACAAAAUUCAGGAGACAAACUGCCUGCCUAAAAACUUGUGUUUGGACAGAAGAGGCAACGGCCAAGGCAAAUACAAGAUUCAUGAGCAUUUUUGAACAAAAUUCCCCAAAUUCGCUGGCUCGAACGAAUUAACGAAACUGAGAUCCCAGAACAUUCUAGAAGGGAAUCGCGGUCUGAAGCACGAAAGAAGCAGAGCAAGACACGCACACUCACCUCUGCCUUCGCCUUCGCCUUUCCACUUGCCGUCGUCUCCAGACGCUUCUUGUUGCUCCUGGUGCCGGGCCUUGUCCCCCCAAGCUCAACUGCUCCUCCGAAUCCAAAUCCCCUGGCUGGGUGGGUGCUCCUCCGCUAUAUACUGUACGACGCCUCCUGCGUCCCCGGGCUUCAACUCUCGGUAGUUGCGGUUGCCUAACCGGGCAAAUAAUUUAGUGAUGGACGCCUCCUCCCCUCCGUGGGGUCCGUGUGAACUGCGAAGCGAGAGGCCCCUGCAGGUGCUGUUUGGUGGUGAGCGGGCGAGGGAGGGAAGGAGCAAUAGAAAAAAGAAGAAGAUGAUGGGCUGAGCUGAGCUCAUGAAAAACGAUGGCGUGUGCUCGGCAAAUAUUUAUACGCGGCGGAGGAGAGGAGAAAAGGGGAGGAGGCAGCGAGGAACGGAAGGGUCCGGUUCCGGCGCGGGCGACCGCUUCAACGACGACGAGUGAGUGGUCUGGGCGAGACGUCCACUGGCUGCCUGGGUUGGGCCAGGUCGCCCAGGCCGUGCCGAGGAGCGAGGAGGGCGAGAGGCGAGGAGCGAGACCGUGUCGCGGACGCCAGUCGCGCAUGCCACCGCGUCGUCAUCCCGGCGCACGUAGGAUAGGAAUCAUUUCCCUUCUGGAUGCCAGCGUGGUGGCCACCGCGCGUUUUCUCCGGGGGGCAGCGCCCGACUGCGACGGCUGGCUGACACGGCUUCUUGACCGACGCCGCCCGGGGUCGGGAAAGCCACCGGGUCGCUGCCCCGGGGAGGUAGGCACGGCGCAGCUGCAAAAGUGUCGAGGAUUCGAACUGGGGCGGGCGCACCGCAACCGCGAUUAAACUAGGCGUGUUCAUGCACGCGCUACGCGAUCACAGCCGAAAUGGAACGCGGGAAUCAUUGUGUGCCGGGCGCAUGAUUAGCUCGUGUAGCAGCGUGGCGUAAAGCGGACGGAGGCUCUCAAGGGAGUACGUUCUUCGUCCACAACCUGACGGACGGCCAUCCAUGGCGCACCCAACAGAAAUCCGCAAAGUAGCAGGCCCCGGUACCUUUUUCUUAGGCAAAUCAAACGUCGCAGUCUGGGACCUCUUCAGUCUUAGGCAAAUCAAAUGACUAAAUAGAAUGCCCGGAAAAAUGUUUCACUGUAAAAGAGGAGUAAGAUCCCUUGCUAUUUGCGCACCUCCUUCAAACCCUGAUUAAUAGGGCUAAAGAGCUAGUUUGCCACCGCCAACAGGAGCAGGAACUAACUUCCCAGUCGUCCAAUACACUAAUUAUAAUGGAAGCAUGUGCAUUUGCAUCCUCCACUGGCCUAGAGGUUAAUUCUUCAAAGUCUGUCAUUAAUAUCACACAAGACAGACUAACCUCCUUGGCUCGAUACAUUUGUAACUCUUCUGUAUUAAUAUUGCGAAUUGAGGCGCAGUAUCUUCACCUGAACCCACUUUGCUCUGUCCUCCCAACCCAAGAAUGUGGCAGGUGAGGCGGCUGCUUGCUCAGGCUCAGAAGGCCGCGUGGCGACGCCAUGCCCGCGGCCAAAUAAUCCAUGCUGCCGCGCCGCCCGACCUCGGACCGGAAAGGCGAUCCCCAGCCUAGCCUGUACCCCGCAGUCGGUGGCGCAGGUCAAACGCCGGCGACAGCAACGCCAGUGAGUUACGGGAUCGUCGGCCGCGCCAGCCGCCUGCAUUUCAAGGUCGAUCGAUAUCUGCACGACUAGUCCAAGGAGGCCUCUGACUGGAGGAUCUAGAAGCCCUUUUCGUGUUGUCGUGGUGCGCUGGGUGUUUGGUUAUCAAUCUUUUAUAUUUCUAAACUAUUACGUAUAUCUAGAUGUGCAGUAGAAUCUAUUUAUCCAGGUUUGAUAAAACGAUCUGCAGAGGAAAAACUUGUAUAGUUAGGCUAGUCCAGUCAGUGUUAUCUACCGCUGCCACCGUCACUAGGCCACUAUCGUCUCACCGCCGAUGCAGCCAAGAACACCCAGGACCUUAGCGUACCAGCGGCUGAUUUUUUCCUCUUCAUUCGGUGACAACGGCUGGCAAUUGGCUGGGCUCGGCCUAGAUCAAUCAGCUGGGCCAGUUGCCCACGCGGCCUCCUCCAUCAUCUGCACAGCUGUCCGGUCAACGUGUUUUCCCGCAAGCCGGAGAAGAUACACGAGCAGAUCCAGACGGAAACGGCCUGGUAGCCGGGUAGGCCCUGGCCCACUACCAGCCACUGACCUGUGGGCAUAUAUCCUGGGCCCGCUUGACACGUGCGCCAAUUCUGAAGGCACCCGCCCCGUUUCCGCUUUCCCCUUCCUUCCUCCUCGGCACUCCUCGCUCGCCACCACCAACCAAUCAUCCACGCGCCCCGAGGCCCCCGCGCUCCUCGCCGGCAGACGAGCACAACGGAUCAACGCCGGUGCAUCGUUGCUAUCCCUCCCUCCCAUCGGCGAAAGGUAUCAGACAAUUCUCCUCCCUCCUUUUCUGCUGUAUCUUCUCGUCGGCUUCAAUCCACGCGCAGAGAUCCCCUGCGAUCCGCACAGGCGCAGCCGCAUAAGGAAAGAAUCGGUCGUGCGGUCCGGUUUCCUUGCUCGAUCGAUCGGUUCCCCUGUCCUUUUCCCCCCUCUCCGUUUCCGGCUGCAAAUCUUAGCUGUCUCCUCGGUGCGGUUGGUUGCUUCCACCGUUACGAUUUCUUCGAUGCGGAUGAGAUGGCAACGAGAGCAUUCAAUUUCUACCGAUUAUUCGGUUACCUCAGCAAGAGCGCCAAUAUUUUGCCCACGCAGCUAUCUGAGCUGGGCUUAGUUACGAUUUUGUUGGCAGCCGGGAUCCGAAACUCUGAAUUGGGUACACUGUUUACCUGCUACAGGAUAAUGUGGAUAGGAUUAGAGGAUUUGGUUAAAUUCUUAGAUGACAGGCAUGUGUGUUGACAGCGUUGCUAGGGUAAUAGGACAGGAGGAUUUGGGCUAAACUUUUAGACAAUAGGCAUUGGUCCUUCUAUAAAAGCAGGGUCUGUGCCUCUGCUCGAAAAGUUUUGGACCUAAUUUUGGGAACUGAGGGUACCUUGCUAUGCUCCAAAGCUUUAGUAAGUCAUGGUGUUGUGUUAAUUCAUAUUACCAGAAUUAUAAGAAUCCUUUUGGGCAUUUAACAUGCUCAGCAUACGCUUGACAGGACACCUUUGUUAUUUAUAAGCUGUGAAUUUGCAUAGUUGUCCUGUUACUUGUUGACUUCUGCACUGGAGUUUUUAAUGUUCCCGUAAAACGACACUCAUAAUCCUGUGCUGUGACACAAUAUAAUAAUGGUUCACUGCAACUUCUGGAGAUUUUAGGGUAAUCAGCUACAUCAUUUUUGGCUGGAUAGUAUGCUUGUUUCUUUUUUUUUUUUUGAAAGAUAGUAUGCUUGUUUCUUCUUAGCUUUUAUAGCAUCAUUCAGAUUCAAAUUUGUUUUUCAGUUAUCGGAUGUGUCCAUAAUGUCAGAGAAUGUAGAAAUCCUGGUAAAACAGGUGGUUCCAUGAACUUGCUAGGAUUCAUAACUUGGUUCUUGUAGCAUCCUCGGCAAAAGAAUUCUUUUAGAGUUACAGCCAAUGACAGACUCGGAUAGGGUAUCCCUGUCUGAGAUUUGCCCCCGUACAAGUUCCUUCGCCUUUCUUGUCCUUUUUGUAUGAAAGAUAGCUAACCAAUGUCCAUUUUGUGUCCAGCAUUGACUGCUUCGGCUUCAUGAGUUCAGGGAAAGCACUGGCAUCCAGCAGCUCUUAUUCACCAGUGAACAGCACCAUCUUCUUUCUCUGCCUUUUUGCUGGAUACUUGGGAAUUCCUGGUGGAAGCUUCCACUUGCUUAAGGCUAUUCGCAGUGGAGGAAGCCUAAUUUAGUCCUCACUGUGGCAGAAGUCUUAGUUCAGAAGCCUUUCCUAGAAGUUGCUAAGCCUUUAAAACAUGGUUUCUUCUCAGCCUUCCACUCUGACAGAAACCCUCGCACAGGGCCCCAACCUCUGCCCAGUCAAGAUACUUCUCCCAAUGGGCCCCCCAGAUGUUGUCUCCUCAGAAAGUGUGGAGUACGAUUUCUCUGAUGUUUUCGGUUCCACCCCAGUCCAGACACCAACAAACCUUUGUGGCCAUGGUCCAGACAGUCCUGCGCUUACUGCUGAGUCCAAUGAAGAGGUUUACAAUGAUCCUGUUGUCAUCAUCAAGCGAUCCCAUUCUCUUGUCGGUCCAACAUCACUUGUUAGCCGGUCCUUGCGACUUAGCAAGCUCAGUCUAGGAAAAACAGCGGGAUCAUCAGAACUUGCAAAGUGCCUCUCAGAAGAAAAGGAAGGGGAACAAGGGCAGCUCAGCGAUGAAGAGUUUGAUAAUGCUACAACAGAGUAUGAGGGCGUUGGGCUUGAUGAUUUUGAAAUCUUGAAGCUUGUUGGCCAAGGGGCAUUUGGCAAAGUAUUUCAGGUGAGAAAGAAAAAUACUUCAGAGAUAUAUGCAAUGAAAGUUAUGAGGAAGGAUAAGAUAUUGGAAAAUAAUCAUGCUGAGUAUAUGAAAGCCGAGAGAGAGAUAUUGACAAAAGUCGACCACUCUUUCAUAGUGCAGCUGAGGUACUCAUUUCAGGUAAUUUUUUUGUGUAUAUUCUCACCCUUAUACACAGUACAGAAGAAGAGUUUAUGUUUGGUGAAAUCCUAAUACAAAUUUCAUAUGCAGACGAAAUAUCGACUUUAUCUUGUCCUGGACUUCGUAAAUGGGGGGCAUCUUUUCUUUCAGCUCUACAAGCAAGGGUUAUUUAGGUAUCUUCCAGUUCUUGCUAGUAGUUUUGUUUGUCAAAAGGCAGUAGCAAUGGUACUGAUACUAAACUGGUUUUACAUAUCAGGGAGGAGCUUGCACGAAUCUAUACAGCUGAAAUUGUAUCUGCUGUAGCGCAUCUUCAUGCCAAUGGAAUUAUGCAUAGGGAUCUCAAGCCUGAAAACAUCCUUCUGGAUGCCGAUGGCCAUGUAAGAAUCCCAUACAACCGACAUCUUCGCCACUUACUCAAUUUGCUGACAUCUCUUCCUUUGCCAUGCAUUUCUAGGCCAUGCUCACUGACUUUGGCCUUGCAAAGGAAUUCUGUGAAAAUACUAGAUCAAACUCGAUGUGUGGCACUCUUGAGUACAUGGCCCCAGAAAUUAUUCUUGGUCGGGGGCAUGAUAAGGCUGCGGACUGGUGGAGUGUGGGAAUCCUCCUGUUUGAAAUGCUUACGGGCAAGGUGAGUUGCAAUUUUGCAUCAGAGCUUCUCAUAAGAUAGGCAUUGCAUGGCAGAUUUUACCAUCUCGUUUGCUUUCUUUGCAGCCCCCAUUUGUUGGGAACAGGGACAAAGUUCAGCAGAAGAUUGUAAAAGAAAAACUGAAGCUUCCUUCAUUUUUGUCAAGUGAAGCUCAUUCCCUCCUGAAAGGCGUAAGCUUUUACAUUUAUUCCCCGUGAUCUCAUCGUUCAUUUAAUCAGAAGCAUUAGCUUGAUUUGAGCUGACGUUCUCAUUCCCCACCAUUUUCCAGCUGCUGCACAAGGAGCCCAACAAGCGGCUGGGCAGCGGCCCUAGAGGCAGCGACGAGAUAAAGAACCACAAGUGGUUCAAACCAAUCAACUGGAGGAAGCUGGAGGCCCGGCAGAUCCAGCCGAGCUUCCGGCCUAAUGUCGCUGGGCUGACCUGCAUUGCCAACUUCGACGAGUGCUGGACGAAGACGCCCGUGCUGGACUCGCCGGUGGCGACCCCCGCUGGCGGCGGGCACAACAACUUCGCGGGGUUCACUUAUGUCAGGCCUGCGCCGAUCCUUGAGGAGGUGCAGCCAUCGAGCUCUAGGCUGGAAGACUAGGGUGGUAGCGCAUUGGAAAUGUGCGUACAAUUUUGAUCGAGUGAUAUUGAAGUAGUGGGAUGUCUUCUGCGAUGUAUCUUCAGAAGAGACAUUGUUUCUGUGUCGUGUUGUAUACCAUCUGAAUAGGGACAGAUAGCUUGUUAUAUCAUGAUGUACUGGGAAGGUGAAAUGCGUUAAUGAUAAGCGAAUGCUGACGAAGUUUUAGUAAUCUAACAUUUCAUUGUAAAAGUGACGAGCAACAGUUUUCGGCGUCCUUUGUGACGAGAUGAGCGGUUCCGUGAUUGCUCAGUUUUAUAGGCGACGGAACAAGGGGGCUUCUCAAAUCAAAUGUUACCCAAGAAUUUUUAUUAACACAGUCUCCAAUACACCACUGCUGCCUUUUUUUGUAAAAAAAAAUAUAUUAACUUCAAUGAAAAAUUGAUGCUACCACACGUCUUGUUUCGUUGGGUUAAAACUUUGACAAGCAAUCACUCUAUUAAUAUACCAUUUUAUGAUAUAAAACUUAUAACAAUAAGGUUAAUCUAGAAACAUCAAUGAUAUGCUAUAACCCUAUGGCUGAUUUUGUUAAACGUUCAAAUACUCGUAUUUGUGAUUGCUGUAACUAGAUGUUCAAAUGUUCAUACGUCAGAACAGCUUUCACACUCGCCAGCCGUUGCGCAGGAUUAUAUAUUUAUAUGACAUGACUUGGUGAAUAACUUCAAAUCUUCAAUAACCACCUGGUAUGCAUUGCAGGCUCAACUGGCAUCGAUGAUAGAGGUAGCUCAACAUUGCACAGCGGUCCAUGACAGCUCACCUGCCAUCUACCAUCGUUAAAUUGAUACGGCCCCAAAAACAGCCACAUAUAGAUAAUCAAAAAUUGAAACUCAGCCACAUUCACAUGACACGAAAAAGAAAUGCACGGCCACAAAGGUCGCAUUGAAAAAUUAGUCACCAAGACGGAGCACGAGCUCAAUUCUAACACCAUAUGGCAGCUCACAGGACUAAUAAUCCAAAGCUUUGUUUUGUGUUCAGGCCUUCCGACGACCAACUUGAGCAACGAAUCCAGCCUUGAUUGGAGCAACAGACCUUGAAGAUCCACACUAGAUACCAAAAGAACAGCUCAUUCAGAUUUCUGAUAAAAAUCUUAGGUAACAAAAAAAAGGGAAACAACAAAGUCUAAAAAUGAUCUAAAAGAAGGAUAGCCUCAGAACUUUGCAGAUAAUAUCACACUAUUUCACUCAAACAAUGUCGGCAAAUAAUUCUGCAACUCAUCAUAGGCCAAAAGUACAACCGUACACAAGAAUGAGGUAACUAAUUUCAGCACAGAAAAUGUUUGAUUCUUAAAAGAAAACUCAAGUAACAAAAUAAGACUUGCAUCAAAAAAAUACCUAGAAAAACUAGGUGACAGUGAAACUAAUAGCAGAUAAUGCACGCCACAAAUUCAUGACCUUGUUUAAGCCUCAGUAAUUGCACUUCUUAUCACAGAAGACUUGUCAAACAAUGUAGGCAAUAAAGUUGCAACUCAUCAUUGGCAGAACCAUAUAGUGACAUGAUAGUUUGAUGGAAGUGCUCACUAGAAGUGUUUAACAAGUGAAAAGUAAGGUGGAAGUGAAAUGGGGAUGAAAUUAAAUGCAACAACGAUAAAGCUUAAACUUGGUCUUCCAAUAUGAUCAAUAGAAAAGGUAGACUCAGAUUUUGCAGAUCUUAAUAUGUUAAUUUAUGACCUUGUUUAAGCCUCAGCAAUUGCACUUCUUAUCACAAAAGAAUUGUCAAACAAUGUAGGCAAUAAAGCUGCAACUCAUCAUUGGCAGAACCCUAUGCUGACGUGAUGGUUUGAUGAAGUAUCUACUAGAAGUAUUUAGCAAUUGAAAAGUAAUGUGGAAUUGAAAUGGGAAUAAAAAUAAAUGCAACAAUGAUAAGGUUUAAAUUUUGUCUUCCAAUAUGAUCCAUCAAAAAGGUAGACUCAGAUUUUGCCGAUCCUAUCACGUUAAUUCAAACAAUGUAGGCAAAUGGUUCUGCAGCUCAUCAUAGGCUACAACAGCAUGGCUGGACCAAAUAGGGGCUAGCAGAUUAUACUAUAGUCCACAAAUGAGGGGAAAUUUUAUGUGUACCAAAAAGCUGGCACAAAAUCGUUUCAUUUAGAAAGAAGAAUGCAUGUAAAAAUAUCUACAGCAGAAAACUAAGUGAUGGUAACACCGACAACAGAUAAUGCCUGGCACAAAUUUAUGGAAUUGUUUAAGCCUCAGAAAUUGCAAUUCUUAUCACAGACUUUCAAACAAUGUAGGCAAUAAAGUUGCAACUCGUCACUGGCAGAAGUGCAGAACCAUACGCAAACAAUGCCGUGGCAUGAACUAGAAAUGUUCAUAGGCAACAAUCAUGUGUAAACUGGAAUAAAACUGUAAAUAACUGCAUGUGCCCAGAGCCGAUGAAAAAUAUAUCAAGAUCAAAACUGCAGGCCCCACACUUUUACAUGGAUUUGCAUGACAUUUUACCUGCUCGCAACGAAGGAAGAACAGACGAUUUUCCUUGGAUAGAAUGGUAUCAGGGCUCUUGCAUCCAUUGCAGAUGACAUACUCAUCUGAAAGGUGUAAAAUCACAUAAGUUUAAAAUAAGGACAUAAGAGUACAAAAAACUAAAGCAACUUCCAGGAAAAAAAGUAAACAAACACCAUAUUUCUUCUAAACCAAUACAGAUGGUAUGCUUAUUAAAAGAAUGCAAAGCCAUCUGUUCAGAAAAGGGCAUACUACAAAUAUCAACACAAUUGAAUUGGUAACUUACUAAUGUAUCUCCUCAGGAUUGCUUCAAAGUUUUUGGGAGCAAAUCUUCCUUUGAUCACCAACCUUUGCUGCCCAUCAAGUGAGCCACUUGUUCCCAUUUCAGCAAGCAAAAACAUCAUCACAUGCUCAGGUUGCCUAUGCAUCCUGAAGACACAAUUUAAAGUGAGUUGAUAAUAAUUUUAUCAAUUGGAAAGAGCACUUGAGAAGGUUUGACUCGAGAAAGUAUCAGUUAAAAAUAAGCAAUCAAAGUGAUGUCGAAACUCACGUUUUACACAAGUCCAUAAAAUUAACAAAAACUGUCUUCUUUGUUCCCUCCCUAAGAACCUGAGGUGGCCUCAUUACUGUUCUACGCCUGUCCCCAGCAAGAUCUGGGUUGUUCUCACGAAGAAUGUUGAACACUCUGUCCAGGAGCUGCAAAGAAAUAUCCAAUGUCAAAUUCAUGAGUAAAAUUACAUACGGGAGACCUGCAGCGGAAAAAAUUGUAAUCCAAAUUAAUAACACAGAAUGGUGCAUAUUUUGUGCUCCCAAAGCAACAGAUGCCAAAGCACGCAAGUCAUGAAGUGGAAACAACGCCAGGAUUCUAAUAUCAUAAAACAUUCAAACCACAAAUAUACUCUGGAGGUAAAACUCUGGUAAAUCACUUAACACUUCCACCAAAAGACUUCUCGAAUAAUCUUGUGUUUAUUAAUUAUAAUGCAGAGAUCCCGGUUUAAAUGGAAAAUAGAAUUGGCAGAAAAAUAUUUAAGUACCUCUUCAUAUUUGUAAUCCCUAUCAGUUCCCUCCCAAGGGUAUCUAGGGCCACCUCCAAGCACAAUGCCUUCCCCUUGUUCCUCGUCAGCUUGAUCAUCUAAAGAGCAGGGACUCAGAUAUUGCAAAAGCAGUCAACAAGAGCAGGGUUUAAAUUAAUAACACAUGGAACACACACCUUGGGCAUCCUCCCCAUCUCCAAGGUCAGCAAGAGAUGAAUCAAGAUCCACCUGAAAAUUUGCAGGAUGAAUAAAUGUAUCGCCAUUCAUUUGCUGCUCCACAUAAAUUGCACAAUUGAGCCUCAAGUGUCCAAAAUUUAACCUGCUUCUUCUUCUUCUUCUUCAUCCCAGUGAAGUUGAGUUCAGCAGGUUCUGUGACUGAGGAAUAACAAGAAGCACAUUAAUGAAGAUAUCCCAAUGAAUAACCAAACGACUUUGUUGCAGAAUACAUACCUGCCAAGCUUUCUGUCUUCUCUGCCAGCUUGUCCACUUCAUCAGAAGUAUCUUGGAUGACCACUUUCUUCUUUUUCUUCUUCUUGGUUGGAUCAAAGGGGGCAAGCUGUAGGACAUGGAAAAUAGGUAAAUAAACAUGUGGUCACAACCAAAAAUGAGGCCAAGCAUCAAGCUAUACUUAAUCAACUAACUGUGUACCAAAAAGAAGGUUGUGGAUUCUGUACUUAAACAAGUUGAAUACAACCCUGAGUAACUAAGCCAAAUGAAAUCCGAUCCUUGAGAAUCUCAGACCAAACAACAACACACCUUGUCAUACAGUUUGUAAUUAUAUCCCAAAAGUUUGCUGAUAUCAUUUCUAACUAAAUGAUUUCAGAUAAAUCUGCUGUUGCUGUACGUGCUACUAUAACCCCCUUAGGGUCACGACUUCAGGGCUUGAACAGUCGCAAUGUCUGCUGAUAGUUCAACUCUACACCAUUUGAAUCAAAAGGUUGCAUCCACCAAGCCCCUAAUCGAUGAUACCACACCAAGGGUACUCGAAGUACAUAGACCCCAUCAGGUCCGCGUACGCAAAAGCAAGACCAACAUACCCUCAAAUCCAAUCCACAACAACUAGCAAGCCCUAGUUCGAACUACGUCGCAUCAAGUCUAGCCGAACCAAACUAGAGCCAACAGGCACCGCCCGUAUCGAUCAGUGCAGAGGCGGAGAAAGAGCCAAGCCGCUCACCUCCGGGACCUCCUCCUUCUUCUCCGCGUGCUCCUCGUCCGCCAUGGCUGAGGCGCUCGCCUUCACCUCCGAGAGGCUCUUCCUCGAACCGAGCGCUCCGAUUGCUGCAAUAGCACGAAGCAGGUCAGAUCGAACGCGGCGGCGCUGGUUCGAUUCGGUCGGCGCGAGAUGCUCGUAGGAGUUCUUACGGGCGGAGAGCGCGCGCGAGCGAGAGAGAGACUGCGGCGGCGGCGACUGCGGCGUGGGGCUUCGGGUUAGGGUUUCCUCAGAGUCCUCUCGCUUAUCUUUUCUACUGCAUUCGUCUUUGGAGAUGCAAGGGGUAUAUGCGCAAAAACGUCCACCUCCUUAAUCCCAGCCGCUUGACCUCCAUCGGACGGAUCUCGGUCAAUGUAUUGUUGCUGGAUUACGAAAUACGUUACCUCGUGGGGGCCUUAAUGAAAACUUCUCACCGAAAAGUCAAUCUGAGCCGUUUGUUUCGGAUCGAACGCAGUGCAUCGUUCUCGGAAAACCCCCUUACAAGAUUCGUAUGGACCGAGUUUCUGCCCCUUGUGAGAGGCCUCGAUCCCCUUCCCAGCGCCGGCACGGCGAGACCGAGUUGUUGGCGUGCGAGCAGGGGACGGCGGCGCAACUUCGGUCCAGUUUUUUUUCAGUAUGUGCGUCAUUGUGGAGCGGCGCUGAUUGGUCACAAUAAAAGAAGUUUGCAGUCGAGUGAGCAGCACGACGACAUGGAAGAAGUCUAGCGAUUCAAUUUUCCAGCGGAGAAUUCUACACUCGCCAAGAUACAAAGUUUCAAUCUUUCAAUGAGAAAGCACAGUUUUUUUUUCCGAGGCUGAAUGCACCUGAUGUCAACAAUGGUUUACAUGAAUUCAAUCACAAAUUAGCUAAACAAAUAGAAUGAGCUGCAACUGGAAGCAGUUGGUGAAGUAGAUGAAGCGAGCUGCACUGCGUACAAUUAAACUGAUGGCGGGUUGGAGUCCUUGGGUUUUUCAUCAGAGGAUGCUCGGCUCUCCGAGGCGGACUGCCGGAGCCCCUCGAUCAUCCUGAUCACUUCCUCCAUGGUCGGGCGCCGGUCGGGAGACCUUGCCGUGCACGCCAUUGCUAUCUGGAGCAUCUGGACCAGCUCCUCUUCGAUGUUCUGCUGCUUCAUCAGCUCGACAUCGAACACCUCGGCCGUCCACUCCUCCCGGACCACGGAGUGCACCCAUCUUGGGAGGUCAACAACAUCGUCGUUCCCUUGGGUCUGAAGCGGGGCUUUCCCUGUGAGCAUUUCCAUGAGGAGGACGCCAAAGCUGUAGACAUCGGACUUCUGGGUGAUCUUGCGGUUCUCGACUGUCUCUGGAGCGCGGUAACCAACCACAACACGAGAUGCGUUGACCGGCACACUCAUCAGAGUGCUAAGGCCAUAGUCUGAAACAGAAGGAUUGUGAUCUUGGUCUACGAGGACAUUAGUUGACUUGACAUUGCCAUGGGUGAGCUUUGCGCCACCUUCUGCAUGUAUGUGAGCAAUUCCAUAUGCUGUUCCAAGGAUGAUCUUCACCCUGGAGUUCCAAUCUAAUGGUGUCUUCUCAGUAACACCCCUGAUACCUGUUGAGCAACCAAUUCAGUAAGAACUACUAUCAACAAAACAGACUGAUGCCUCAGUUAUCUGUAUGUAACAGCAAGAAAAAUGCAGCUUCAGCAUUCAGGGAAGUGGGUGAAUUACAUAUGAAGGCAAGCCUUCUUUCCAACUAUAUUGGUCAAUGACAUUAACUUUUAAAUUUAGAUGUCAGGUUGAGAGAACUAUUAUAUAACAUGGCAUCGAUAUAGCAAGUUAUGUAAUUCCAAGCUAAGCAUGCUGUCAGGGGCUGACACUUUUAGGAAUGCUGGCCUCUAGUUAUGUUAUGAAAGUGGGUUUAAAAAAUCAAUUGCAAAAAAUAACACAUCUGCAGGAAAUAUGUAUGUAGCAGUAAAAAGCAUACCAUGCAACAUGGCUGAAACACUGCCAGUGUCAAUAUAAUCGUAGACAAUAAGCUUCUCAUCUUUGGAAUAGUAGUACGCACGAAGUGGGACUAGGUUGGCAUGUUUGCCCAACCUCCCAAUGAGCUCCAUCUGCUGUUCAAACUCUCUUUUCCCUGCCACAACAUCUUUUAAUCUUUUGACUACCACGACAGUACCAUCCUCAAGUAUAGCUUUGUAAGCAGUUCCAUAACUUCCCUUGCCAAGGACUUCUGCAGAAGCUCUCAGUAGAUCCUCCAAGUCAAAGCUAUAGGUGCAGCCUUCCAAGAAAACCAACUUGUUCUUCUCAGCAAUUUGGACACCACUACUGAAUUCUUGCUUCGGCUUCUCACUCCUGGUGACUGUACCCUUACCUUUGGAUUCCACAUCACUCUCAUCCUUGCCUUUCCUCUUUGAAAAGCACACAACCAACACAACCACAACUAGCAUCAGCAAUGCAAAUCCACCAACAGCAACUGCAAUUAUGACACCUGUGCCUAGUUUCUUCUCAUGAUGUGGCAAAGGUGGAGAUCGUGGCGAUGAAGAUGACUUGGGUGAGGGUGUUGGUGAAGGAACCGAGCAUUCAGGUAGAGGUAGCCCGCACAGUCCAGGAUUCCCUGAGAACGAACCAUUUGGAAAUGUUUGGAGCGAACGAGGAAUUGGGCCUUCCAGCUCAUUGUUGCUCAGAUUUAAUAGUUUCAGACUUGGAAGCUUGAGAUCAGGGAUGGAUCCAGAGAAAGAAUUAUCUUGUAAAUUUAGCGCAGUUAACUGAGUCAGCUUUUGUAAACUUGCAAGAACUUCCCCUGUGAAGGAAUUGUAGGAGAGGUCUAUUACACUGAGGCUAGGACUGAAGGAAGAAGGCAUCGGUCCUGAAAAUUUGUUGUGCUGUAGGUAUAUGGAACGUAAAGAAGGAAGUGAGGCCACAUCAGGUGGAAGACUUCCCGUUAAACGAUUAGACCGCAGGCUCAAUACUUGGAGGGAGUCGAGCCUUCCAAGAGUGUUUGGAGGAAUUGCUCCGAUGAGACCAGCAGCUGGUACCCUCAAUUCAAAAACGUGGGACUGAUCUGCCGAGCAUUUUACACCAUGCCAUGAACAAGAUGAUGUAUUUUUAUCCCAGUUGAGCUUGUUGCCAUGAGAGACUGCAGAGAUAAAGUCCAGAAGCGCUUGCUUCUCGUAGGCCAAGUCCGCGACAACCAAGGGGUUGAACAAUGAUAACAGCAACUGUAUUGAGAGCAGAAUACGGAAAGAGCUCCUAAGAUUGAGGUAACCCAUAUGAUGAUCUCCAAAUGGGCAAAUUAAUUGAGCAGCAUAUUAAUUGUAUAUGAGGCAGUAAACAACCCUGUUCAAUCAAAAUAGCGCACGAUCAGUGAUAAAUGUUAGCAUACUGACACUAGAAUUUCAAAAGCACCCAUGUUUUCUUUAUCAGAAGAUAACCAAACACAUAUUGGUAAUCAUUAGAUAGAUAUGUAGAUUGUCAAAUGUCUGUGUAGUGCAUGACCCGGAGUGAACAAAUAUGUCUGCUUAUGCAAAAGCGAUGCACGCCUGUGCACCGCCGUGGGGCAGCACAAUAGACUUUCCUUUCCAGCAAGUGACUCAUGACACUGACCAAGACACUUUGAAAAAGAAGAAGUUCCCAUCAAUGUCUAAUGAUUACAGAGUUCCCAUUCCAACCAAUGGAUUUUCCUUUUUCACUGGGUUAUUAUAGAAUGCGUGCAAAGUGAGAACUCUGUAUGCAGUAUGCACUAUUCUGAGCCAUCGAGAAAUUUUAUGCUAAGCAGGCUUGAUUUUAGCAUCUCCCCAGGUGCGCCACAGCUGAGCAUUUUACUGGGCUGUGUGGCAACAUUGAGAACAAGAGGAUCCAAUUAGCAGUUAAUAAACACAAGAGACAUGAAACCCAUCUUCAAAGAAUGGAAGCAUGGAACCCAAUAAAAUAAAAAGGCAAUAAAAAACAUGGCCUCUAAAAUCAUGGACAGAAAGCAAAUAAAGGGAAAGAAGGGAGAAAAAGUGAAAUCAUCCGGUCAGCAUACUAAAGUCCAAAGCAGCAACAAAGUAAGCAGAAAAGAGGGAACAAGAACAAAGCUGAACACAUCAUAGCGUACAUAAAGAUGAGCAUGUCACAUCAUGUAUUUAAUUUUAUUACUUGUUCACAUGAAAGACUAAUGUAAGCUUAGCAUAGACAGGCAUAGACUCAGGUUGUUAGGCAAUGCAUUCUUACACUGGUGUGCAACAAGUCCAACCAAACGUAUCAUCAUGCAGCAAGCCAGCAACUUUAUGUGCUAUUAGGACUAACAUGGAGCAGCCUUACUAUCUCAGAAAAGAUUCUUCAACUAAGGCAGUGAUCGCAUAAAAAGGCCAAUGUCAUCAAAGAAGCCAUUAAAAAAAGGUGAACCAAAGGCAAAGUUUAAGCUAAGCUAAUCUAACCUAAUUUUUCAAAUGGGAACUCAGGAAGCUGCCAUUGUCAGGAAGACGUGUAUGUGGGAAACUACUGCACAUGCCAAUGUGCGCGGAGAUUUUACCACAUUGUUUACGGAUUACAAGAUCUAGAUUCUAGCACAGCACAGAGUUACUUCACCUCCACUUAAAGAGACCCUGAGAUGAAACAAUUCCUUAAUCGGGCUAGCAAAUGACCAGCGAGCGUUGCUCGAAAGUCCAAGCUCAACACCUAGUAGUUGUUUGCAAGGAUCCACACAUUUUUCAAGUGGUGGCUUCUAACUCCAAGAGCGAAAACCAAGAUUGACCGCAGGCGAUUCGAGGGUAUGAGAUUAAAUUUAUAGCUCAAGUGGAACUUGUUUUAUUUUGAGUCAAUUCUAAGCAAUAGGAGGAACAUGCUACAGGAAAUUAAUAAUACCAUAGCAGCUACUGUUUACUGAUGGUAGUUACUACUAGAUCCACCACACGAGGAUACAAGAAAGAGAACUCAAACGAAGAUCUAACCUUUGUCCAUUUCAAGCUAACUAAAAUGACAAGACUGAAAGGAAGGAAUGAAGUUAGCGAAAUAUUAUGGAUGUAUGUUACUAGCACGGCAGUAUGUUGUUUGGCGCCAAACGCAGCAUUACUGCAGAAGUAUAUUCCAGUUUAGCUGAAACGCCGGAAACAGCAAGCACGUCGGUGCUACCAAAUUCGCCUCAGAUGGCUAUGAACCAGUGUAACUGAGGGCAAAACACCGCUGAUGCAAACAUGAAGUGGGGAACCACCCACCCCAGCUCAGCUAAAAUCGUGAGAUUGCCUAGAGCGGAACUGUGUAGAUUUCGGCUGUACUGAGGAAAAGAAAUGUCGAAUUACAAAUAGAAACUACACGAGAGAGAAAAAAUGGUACGGUUCCAUUAAUUAAUUGGGAAUUUGGCAUGCCAGGUACAACUGAAGCUCGAAAUGUAAGGGCAUAAUCCAGAGCGUUCGCUUUUGACUCCUCUGUUUUACUAACAAAACACACUACAAAGACGGACUGGAUGUGCCAUUCAAAAAAAAAGAUGGACUGGAUGUGAACAGUCGAAAACCAACACAUGUAAAAACCCCUGAUUUCCCCUAAAAUCUAACCAAAAAAGGUGCUUACACUCCCUCCGCCUAUCGAAAGAAAAUUGACUAAAAGACGAGAAAAAUUUCAGAGGGGGAACGCCUAGCUAAGCUAAUGCGCAUCCCGCAGAGUCAGUGACCUAAAAGGAUUAGCACACCAAAAGCAACCAAAAUCUCGAAAUCGAAGCUUAGAACAGGGUGUAAAUGCAGAGACGGAGUAGCAGCAGCAGCAGCGAGGAGGAGACGGAUUACCUCCGCGGCAGACUGCCGGCACGGCACAGCCCAGCACGCCGGGAGCACAAGGAAUGCGUGCGGGCUUAGGGCUCGGCCGUGGAGCACCUCUGUCGGCAGCAAGAGGAUUCGCGUCUUGAUGUCGCUGCUUCUGCUGAGUGCUGCGGCUUUGAGAUGGAGGGAAGGCCGCAGGAGAGAGAUGGAAUGGCUCCCAGGCGAGGACAGGAAGAGAGAGAGAGGGACGGGAAAAAGGAGGAGAGAGAGCGAGGUGCGCCCGCAUUUAUGAGGAGGAAGGGAACGGGGGCAGCGACCGAGUAGCAGCGCGACGGUGCCUCUCUGACUGACAAGGCUGCCUGAAACGUUGUGGAGGAAGCACCAGACCAGUGUGACAGUGAGCUACAACUGUACACUCCACUAGUGACACUCCACUACCCUAACUGCCAACUGUGAAAAUUCAACUAGUGACCUUUUUAGAUGACAUGUAAACGCAAAAAGGUGUAAACGCAAAAUAGGAGGUGUAAAAGUUUACAGAUUUUUGCGUUUACGGCUCCCACCCCGUAAACGCAAAAAAACCGUAAACGUAAAAUUUUUGAAGGAAUCUUGCCAAUUUGAAGUACUAAAUGAAGUCUAUUUACAAAACUUUUUGCAUGGAUGGGCUGUAAAUUGCGAGACGAAUCUAAUGAGCCUACUUAAUCCAUGUGUUGCAACAGUGAUGCUACAGUAACCAUCCGCUAAUUAUUGCUUAAUCAUGGAUUAAUUAGCAUCAUUAGAUUCGUCUCGCGAUUUACAACUCAUCCGUGCAAAAAGUUUUGUAAAUAGACUUCAUUUAGUACUUCAAAUUGGCAAGAUUCCGUCGCAAAAAAUUUUUUGCGUUUACAGGGCCCGUAUGCCAAAAAAAAUGCACCGGUCCGUUUAGAUGCGUAAAGACAAAAACGCCGUUUUUGCAAAAAAAAAUUUGCCAUUAUGGCCUGAUCUAAACAGGCCCCAGGCUCCUAACCAACUAGUCGUGCCUGCUACAGUAGCUUCUAGCAGUAGCUCUUGUUUCUACGUCGCAGUCACUUGUACAAUUUUCAGAGAGCAAACCAAACAUAUAUAUGCUGCAGAAUCAAAAGAGAUACUGCUCUUGCUGGAGUUACAGUCCACUCAGCAAACCCCAGUAAUCGCAGAUGCAUGUUCGUGCGACGUACGCGCACAACCACCCUAGUAAUGAGCGGCCCGUCCCUGUCGAUCGCAAGGCCUUGUCUCCAGCUAUUACACCAAGCUUUUCAUGGGUGUAGAGUAGAGAGGAGAAGGGAUCGGUGCCUUGGACCUGAAGAAUGGAAUCCAUCGAUCCACCGGCCGACAAUCAUACAGGGUACUCUGAGGUUGUACGUGGUAGGAUCGUACGGGCUCUGGUCCAUGCAUUGAGAUUUAGACGUUGCUUGCUGUUGCAAUCACAAGGUUAUUAUUCCAGUGCAGGAUCUGAGUUCGUUUGCAAGAAAGAUAUUUUACCGCAGCUGAGCGGGCGGGGCAGGCAGACUGAUUGGUCCUACAUUCAGUCAUGGAUAUUAUUACUCGCAACUCCCUCAAGGUAACUUAACUUAUAUGGAGGUCAACGAGAAGCGUGUUUAAAAUUGAUGCUCAUCGUCGUGGUGUGUUUGGUGAUAUAGCACUCACCUAACACUCUGCAUGCUGCAUGCUCAUUGCUAUGACACGACAGCGGCACACGUGUUGCCGAAUUGUCAGCAUCCCUCGCUCGCAGUCUCCCGGCUAUUGCCUUUCUCUCUUCAUCCCUCUCUCACUCAGCGAGGUCAAUGUGCAACUGCAAGCGGAUGAUCCGACUCCUCCGAAAGAGAAAUCGCCUGGAGGACUAGCAGAGCAGCUGGCUUUUUAGGUGAGACGUACGUUCUGACGAAAGCUCCCCGAGCUAGCUGUUCAACCAAUUUCCAUGCUCUGCCGUGGCUUGGCCCAUUACUGUGAGGCUACGCUACUUUGUUGCCAGGUGGCGAUUGGUUUCGUGGAGCCAUCACGCAUCGCUGUGUGUAUAUCGACCUGACCUCCUUGUUCAAAGGCCACGCCCGAGGAGGAUCAGAAUAGCCCUGAGCUGUGUUCAUUUGACCGAGAAAUAAUGCACUACUCGGCGUGCUCGAUCUGUCGCGAGUACCAUACAUACUACGGAAGGGAAGGGAACAUUGCCGCGUCUCGUGUAAUCCCUUGCGUCCAGGUACGGAGAAACGUUGGGCCGCCACGCCCUAGGUCUACACAAGUAGUCCUCCUCCUCCUCCUCCACUCCUGCACACGGCCCAACCUGACAAAACGCCAGGGCCUAGCUUACUCCCCAGUAGCCCAAUCACGAAAGCCCAUAUCCACCAAUAAUGCCUUUUCCUCCGCUCUCGGCUGGCUCUUCUUCCUCCCUCCCUCGUGCUCAUUUUGUUUGGGCGGGCGGCCAUCCUCAGCUUCAGCUAGCUGGUCCUUGGGACAUCCGAACCUAGCACCUAGGCACCCUGUGCACGUGCGUCCGUAUCCUGGCGGCAGCAGUACUGUGCAGUGCCCCCCUUCCUUUCUGAAAAAUUCCUCCGUUCGCCGCAGAGAUGUGCUAGCUGACUCGGUCCUAUGUCGUGUCGUCCCCUCCGCCGCCGCCCCUACGGCCCUAGCAUCCCUUUUGGGAUUCGAUCGGGUGACAGCAUGCACCGCGCCGCGCGUGCGUAUCUUCUUCUUCGUGGAGCAAUUGGCGGCUAGAAUGCCGAGUGGCCGACGCUGUUCGUGUUUCAAUUUAAUUAUUAUUCUCUGCCGGCCGGCCGUUUGACCUCAGCACAGGGUGGCCGUUUGUCCUCGGCUGCUUACUGGCUCCCAGCAAGGCGAAUGAUGACUCUCUGGUAUGCUUCUUUCUGGUGGCAAGGCAUGCUUCUUUCGGCGGUCGUCAAAUUACUAUGUUUAGUACGACGACGUACUCGAUCGUGCCACUGACAUGGCGUCGUCGUCACAGUUCGGAAAUAAUGUUCGCCCGCAGAACGAAUCGAAUGAGGAAGCAGCUGGUCAAGAGCCGCACCAACCCAGACAGCGGCGGCGCAUGCCGGCCACUCGAGGUGGAUUCACUGCACCUAGCUAAGCCAAAAGCCAACGCCAUCAGCUAGCUCAUAUAGCACGUACGUCGUAGCUACCCCUGCUUUUGCACCACCGGACACUGUCGGCUAAGGUUUGCUGCCUUGUCGACCAAUGCUAUAAAAUCCAUGCAUCGCUUGCCGCUGCUUUGCGCUCACCAUCAGGGAGGAGCAUCAGCCCACCGGUGGCGCGCGCGCGCACUCCUUUUAUUUUUUUAGUAGAUUAACUACUUGAUCAGCAAUCGUAUCAGUUAGUUCCAGCAAUAAGCUCUCGGUCCGAUCCAAUGGCGCGCUCGGUGUCGGCUCACCGCGCGCUCGUCGCCUUCUUCCUGCCGUGGCUGCUGCACUGUGCGCGGCUGGAGGCUGCUGCCGAGGGGACGCCGCCGUGGUUCUGGCCGUGGCCGCCGGUGGGCGGGGGCGACGACCCCUACUGCCUCAGCUGGCGCGUGAUGGUGGAGGCCAACAACGCCAAGGGGUGGCGCACGGUGCCGGCGCCCUGCGUCGGCUACGUCCGGGGCUACAUGGCCUGGGGCCAGUACUACCGGGACGUGGGCAGCGUCGCGGACCAGGCCGCCGCCUACGCCGCCCAGAUCAGCGCGCCCGCCGCCGACGGCCUCGACGCCUGGGUGUUGGACGUCGACGACACCUGCCUGUCCAACCAGCCAUACUACCAGGCCAAGCAGUUCGGGUACCGAUCGAGUCUGAGCUCAAGCGCCAUGCAUGCCAUGGAUCGAUGUGCAUGUCUGAAUGUCUGACGAUGAUCCUGCACCGCAGGGCGUAUGAUCCGGUGGCGUUCAAGAUGUGGGCGAGCAGAGGGGUCUGCCCGGGGAUACCUGCCAUGCAGUGGCUGUUCCAGACGCUGAAAGGCAGAGGGUUCAGAGUCUUCCUUGUGACGGGGAGGGAUGAGGAGACCCUGGGCUCCAGCACCGCCGCCAAUCUGGCCGCGGCAGGAUUCUCGGGCUACGACCGGCUCAUCAUGAGGUUGGUGCUCCGUUCCCUAUUCUGUUCUCCGCUUCUCUUUGGUGAUGAGCAUCCGGGGUCCUACCUCCAACGAGUUGACACAGCUGACCUGACCGCGUGGUUUUUUCAGGAAAAAAGAAAGAUACGAGUAGUUGGGCCGCUUCAAAAGUAAUACAUAGUUGGGCCGGCCCACCAAAAGCCCGAACUAUUUUUCAGGCUAUAACGACCAUGUCCAGCCCAAUACACACCUGCACGGCACAUCCGGUAUUUCUUACGGCAAAAUAAAAUAACCAAUCCAACGCGCGUGUAGGCCAAUCAACCACGCACCUCGCACGGGCAGGCAUGAACCACUACGGCUUUCUCUGAUUAGCGUGCCUGAUGCAUGCUGGUUGCAGGGGCACGGGGUACCGCGGGCAGACCUCGGUGGCGUUCAAGUCGGCGGUGCGGCGGCAGCUUGCGGCGGAGGGUUACCGGCUCCGCGGCAACGUGGGCGACCAGUGGAGCGACCUGCAGGGGGGCUGCGUCGGCGACCGCGUCUUCAAAGUGCCCAACCCCAUGUACUUCGUCCCAUGACCCCUGUAGGGGCUGUAGCUGCAAUUAUAUUGGCAGUUCAGGAUUCAGACUUGCAGAGAGCCGGGUGCGUUUGCAGAUCGUAUACAUGCAGACAAAAAACUGGCAGCUUCCGGUACAGUGUGGUACGUCGUCGUCAGGAAAGGCGUAUGGGUGGUUUAUUUAAUUACCGGUGGCGAGCGAGCUGGCGGCCGACGAACAUGUGUACGUGCACGUUGCCAUCCGCUAGCCAUGGCACCAUGGGCAACUCAACUCGUGCCAAGGACUUGAUUUGAUCGGCUGAUGGAAGGGAAAGCGGCUAGCCGUUCCAUGAUUCACCCAUCAUCCCUUCAAUUCCUUCUCUUUCCCCCCACACGCACCUAGUAUAUCUAUCGGUCUCCGGCGGUUGCCGUCUGCCCGCACCCUGACAGACACAGAUCGGUCUCCAUUCCUUGCGCAUCCAUCCAUCCACCACGUACUACACACGUUACUGCAGCGCCCGUUACGCGCAAGGAUCGGAGAUGGAGGUGGAGGCGUCGAUGGCGGCGGCGGGCUUGUGCUGCGUGGGGGCGUGCGCCCUGGCGCUGUACCUGUACCACGUCCUGUGGGUGGCGCCGGAGCGGGUGCGCGCCGCGCUGCGGGGGCAGGGCAUCGCCGGGCCGCGCCCCUCCUUCCCCUACGGCAACCGCGACGAGAUGAGGCGGGCCGCGGCCGAGGCCGAGCGUGCAGCGGCGCCGGCUCAUCGCGGCGGCAUCGUGCACGACUACCGCCCGGCCUUGUUCCCCCACUACGAGAGGUGGAGGAAGGAGUACGGUACGCAUCGCCCAUCGCUACCUACCUACUAUGCACCUCGCUCGUCAUUGCAUUAGUCUCCCCCAUGCAUGUCGUACUCCAGUUAAUUAUUAGGGUUGAUCUCGGCUGCUUAAUGCCAUCGAGUGAGCCGGUUACAAGGAAAGUAGUGACGGUCGUUUGCCUAGGGGUUUCGGUCGAUCUUGCGUGCCGCCUUCGUAGAUUUGAUUCAUUCUGGACAAGUAGCAGUGACUAGGAUGCAUGGCGACAUUAUCGAUUCAAAUGAAGAACUCGCAUGCCUUUUCAAGAAACAGCAAGAAGAAGAAGACGACGACGACGACUUGCUGCCUGUGUAGGAAAUAGGAAUAGCAAAACCUGAUCUCCAUGAACGUACACAACCGAGAAACGAAAGCAGUAAUCCAACAGCGGUGGGACUAUUCCUGCUAUGCUAGCUAGAGAGAGAGGUAGGUCCUCCAUAUGCUUGGCGCGAAUGACUAUCUGGUCCAAAAAGCAGCGAAACAAUAAUUGAGCAGCCAGCGUGCGCCUCCCUAAAACAAGAUAUUCAACUGCUAAUGCGCGAACAGCAUCGCUAGGCCGAUCAAUUAAAUUAGUCCGAUUCCCAUGCAUAUAUCCCCUCUUGAUCUCUUCUACCACCUGAUUGGAGUAGCGUUUGAACGGUGGGUGCCUGCAAGAAGGCCAAAAAUAAAUAAUUGUUUGGCUUUCUCUGCCACCAACAGAGAAUCUGAUCUCUGAUCGUUCUUUUCGGUGAGAGAUCCAAGUAUAAUUAAUUGUAUGGAGCAGAUGAUAGGAUAACGUGCUGAGCUGUUCAUUCCCUCGGUUAUAGGUCGGACAAAGCUUCUGGGAUCUGACAGAUACAUCGCCAAGCAAGUGCGUGCGGUGCGGCUGGCUCUUUUCAGGAUUCCGUUGAAACGAGGCUUCCCGGCGCAAAAACGAAAAAAAACCGUAAACGCAAAAAUGCUAAAGGAAUCUUGCUAAUUUGAAGUACUAAAUGAAGUCUAUUUACAAAAAUUUUGCAUGGAUGGGCUGUAAAUCGCGAGACGAAUCUAAUGAGCCUACUUAAUCCAUGUUUGCAACAGUGAUGUGAUGCUACAGUAACCAUCCGCUAAUUAUUGCUUAAUCAUGGAUUAAUUAGCAUCAUUAGAUUCGUCUCGCGAUUUGCAACCCAUCCAUGCAAAAAAUUUUAUAAAUAGACUUCAUUUAGUACUUUAAGUUGAUAAGAUUUCUUUGAAAAAAUUUUUACGUUUACCCACUGCCGAUCUAAACAGGCCCUGAAUCAAUGAUGAUAGAUAAAUAAAUACAGUACCCUGCGCAAGAGACCGUCAUCGAUCGUUGACGAUGACUCGAGAGGCUUCACUCACCCAGGCGAACAGCUCCUCCUACUGUUCCAGUGCCUGCCGGUGACCCAGCUGCAGGGGAUCGAACACCCGUGGCUGCACGACACACGAACGCGGCUGCCUGUCAGAAUCUGUCCCGAUCAUUGCCGGUUCACCUGACCAGAACGAUUUGAUCUCAUCCACUCGGUGAUCCACAAGCGACAAGGCGCUGCUGCCUUUGGUCCUCGUCGCCAUCCCGCGGAAAGUGGGGCAGGGAUUGCAGCGCCGCGCGGCGCCUUUGAAUUGAUCUUCCUCGCUCUGCUCUGCUCUCCUUUUGUCGCAUUGCCAAAAGUUUCGGUACUUGCGGAUGCCCACACGCAUCAAAUCAAGCAUGCGUCCAUCAGUCAUCAGUGGGGGAGGAUCGCUCGGCACUUGUGGUGGCUGGCCUGCACCUGCUGCACUGCCAUGCCUUUCCCCAAUCCGCCACGCGACCAAAUUCCGGCAUCUGUCUCUCCGUCAGCACAGUCACAUCAAACGCACAACACGCCAAGAACCAAUCCAGCCCUGUCAUAGAUUCAUACUAGCGAUCAUGAUCUAGCCAAGUGUAGGUUAAUUUCGUGAAUAAUUUAAUUUAAUUGUUCGAUCGAUCGAUCUGACGAUAGAUGAUUGCUGCAGGCCCGAUCUUCACCUACUCGAUCGGGAACAUGGUGUUCCUGCACGCCAGCCGGGCGGACGUGGUCCGGGACAUCGGCCUCUGCGUCUCGCAGUUGGACCUCGGCAAGAGCUCCUACAUGAAGGUCACGCACCGCCCGCUCUUCGGCGACGGCAUCCUCAAGUCCAGCGGCGAGGCCUGGGCCUACCAGCGGAGGCUCAUCGCGCCCGAGUUCUUCCCCGACAAGGUCAGGGGCAUGGUGGACCUCAUGGUCGGCUCGGCGACGGCACUGGUGGGGGCGUGGGAGGAUAGGAUCAGCAAUAAUGGAGGCGGCGGCGGCUGCUGCUGCUUGGAGCUCAGGAUCGACGACGACAUCAGGGCCUACUCCGCCGACGUGAUCUCCAGGACGUGCUUCGGGAGCAGCUACGUCAAAGGGAAGGAGAUCUUUGCGAUGACCAGGGAGCUGCAGAAGACGGUGUCCAAGCCCAACCUCCUGGCCGAGAUGAGCGGCCUCAGUUUCCUCCCCACGAGGACCAACCGGGCGGCGUGGAGGCUCAACCGGCAGGUGCGCAGGCUGGUACUGGACGUCGUGAAGGAGAGCGCGGACGACGACAAGAACCUGCUGAACGCCAUGCUCCGCAGCGCGGCGAGCUCCGGCGGCGGCGGCACCGUGGCGGCCGAGGACUUCAUCGUGGACAACUGCAAGAACAUCUACUUCGCCGGGUACGAGACCACGGCGGUGACCGCCGCCUGGUGCAUGAUGCUCCUGGCGCUGCACCCGGAGUGGCAGGGCCGGGUGCGCGACGAGGUGCGGCAGGCGUGCGCCGGCGCGCCGGACUUCACGUCCCUGCAGAAGAUGAAGAAGGUCGGUCGGAGUACACGUCAGCUAAUUCACAGCAGCAUGCACGCACCGUACAUGGUGGGAGCCCCCGUCUGACCGUGACCGUGUGUGUUUGACCGCCGAUGGGUCUUGCAGCUGGCGAUGGUGAUCCAGGAGACGCUGCGGCUGUACCCGGCCGGCUCGGUGGUGUCGCGGCAGGCGCUCCGCGGCGUCACCCUCGGCGGCGUGCGCGUGCCGGCAGGCGUGAACAUCUACGUGCCGGUCUCGACGGUGCACCUGGACCCGGCGCUCUGGGGCGCCGACGCGCGGGAGUUCGAUCCGGAGCGCUUCGGGGGCGCGCGGGCGCAGCCGCCGCCGCACGCGUACCUCCCCUUCGGCGCCGGCGCGCGCACCUGCCUCGGGCAGGGCUUCGCGAUGGCCGAGCUCAAGGUCCUGCUGGCGCUCGUGCUCUCCAGGUUUGAGCUGAGCCUGUCACCGGCCUACGUGCACUCGCCGGCGCUCAGGCUCAUCGUGGAGCCGGAGCACGGCGUGCGGCUCGUGCUCAGGAGCAUCGAGCCUGGGUUCUAGCUGGUGAUGCCGCUGGUCGGCUCGACGCGGUAUGUAUGAUGGGCUGGGCCUCGCUCGUUUCUUCAACUUUGGGCCUUAUUGUUGAAACGGAAGUGUCGGCCCAAGUAUUCACACUGCACUGUGUACUCCUGUACAAAUAUGGAUUGGUGUCAGAGCGUGCUAGUAGGAGAUUUUCAGUGUCUCCCAUUCAGUCUUAGAUCACAAUCAACGUGGCGUACGCAAGCGCAGGCCACAAAGCUGCCCUAGCUGGGCAUGUCCAGGCUGAUAGCAGCAUAUUCUGGCUUCUGAAUCAGCACCUUUUGUUUUGUCCAGUGUGCUACCUGUAAGUACGGACAGGCAUAAAUGUUGCGGAUGAGCCGGGAUUAGGUGAAGGCCGUGCGGUUGUCAUGGGAUGUUCUGGAGUCUAGAUAGUACAAAGCAUGCUUAUUCCGACAGCGACGUGAGCUAAACAAUCAAGGCUCAUCACCUGCAUGCAGACGCCAUGCUGCUAAUACGAAGCUAGCUGCAAUAAUUUUCUUAUUGGUCUUGUGAUAUAUAGAUGAUUCUGCAGACAAGUCGGGAUUUAAUUCGCCAACAAGUACCCCGAAGGACUACUUAAUCCGUCGCUAUAUCCAUCCAAGCAGGAAGGCACAAAGUUUGGCGUAGCUCGAGAGAAUAAGAGCUAAAGCCUAAAAAGCAAGGCAAUGCCUUCGUUCUCUCCUGAAAUUCUGAAGAGAAAUGCUUUGCUUUGAUACCGAAACGUCGAGACCUGAACUAAACUUGGAGCUCAGCGUAACGCAACCUCAUGCUGAAGGCUGGCCAGGUCGCCUAACUAAAUACUACGUCCAUUAUGCCACAGACGUCCCCGUUUCAAAGCAUUUUAUAAGAUCUGAUCUGAAAAAAGGUCUCCUAUCCGACAGGCGACAGGCGACCGGCCAAACUGAACAGAGGCAGGGCGACGACCUCGAGGAAAAGGCGACGCAGCAAUUACAGACUCGUCCCGGUUGCUGUUCGGCGGAGAUUCCUCAAGGACAGCGACACUUGUGCUGCGAUCGAAAUUGCCUGGUGUCCGGCAAUGAUGAAAGCGACACUUUUGCUCGCAACCGAGGCAUCUCCGCGUGCAGAUGUCGUGAACACUUACUGCUGCUGCUGCUGGAUGCAGAUAUGUGGCAUGACCUGGAUGUGCUGUGAUCAUAGCAGAGAGAUGCCAUGACCAUGAUUGAAAGACGCAUCCUUACCUAACGGCUAGCGGCCGCAGUAGAAACUCGGAGAGACUCAGGGUCGAUUGUACUGGCGCGUCGCCUCCCAUGUCGACUAUCCGCGUGCAUGGAAACGGAAUAAUGCAUGGUUUGGUAGGCGAUCAAUUUCCCGGCACGGACGAGAGAGACGAUCGAUCAGACGAAAGACGAGCAAGCCGCUGUGCUGCUCGCCAAUUUGCUCCGCGUCCCCCGGACGCGCUCGUCCCAUCGCCAAAGAGAGAGACAAGGUACGGCGGCAUGCAUGCAAUCCCUGCCCUGCUAUAAACAGCCAGAGCUCUCCUCGCGCUCUCCGCGUCGCGCGUCGUCCCGAAAUUAAUUAAACCAGUGAUUCUAUCUGACACACCCCCAAAAGAAAAAUCGCCCAUGGCGGACACGAACCAGAGCGUGGUGGCGGUGAAGCCGACGCUGGCCAAGGGCACGCCGUCGGCGUCGUUCCGGCUCCGCAACGGCAGCCUCAACGCGGUGCGCCUGCGCCGCGUCUUCGACCUCUUCGACCGCAACGGCGACGGCGAGAUCACCGUGGACGAGCUGGCGCAGGCGCUGGACGCGCUGGGCCUGGACGCCGACCGCGCCAGCCUCGCCGCCACCGUCGGCGCCUACGUGCCCGAGGGCGCCGCGGGGCUGCGCUUCGGGGACUUCGACGCGCUCCACCGCGCGCUCGGCGACGCCUUCUUCGGCGCGCUCGCGGACCAGGACGACGCCGCGGACGGCGGUAAGGGCGCGGACGACGAGGAGGAGAUGCGGGAGGCGUUCAAGGUGUUCGACGUCGACGGCGACGGGUUCAUCUCGGCCGCGGAGCUGCAGGAGGUGCUCAAGAAGCUGGGAGUCCCCGAGGCCAGCAGCAUGGCAAACGUCAAGGAGAUGAUCUGCAACGUCGACCGCGACCGCGACGGCCGCGUCGACUUCAGCGAGUUCAAGGGCAUGAUGCAGGGGAUCACCGUCUGGGGCGCCUGAUCGAUGAUCGAUCAAGUUAAGUACAUGCAUGUUCAUCCAUCAACGAUCGCCAUCACCCAGGGCAGGUACCCGAAGCCGGACGGACAGGGUAGGUUUCCUAAGUAAGUACGUUUUCAGGGUCGUCCUUAAUCAUUUCUUGGAGACAGUACGUACGAAUCUUAUCUACUGUAGUUGGCUGCGCGCGCGUCAGAAUGCACCGCAGGCAGGGCCGGAUCUUGUGCGCCGCCCCUGAUGCGAUGCGCUUCUAAUUGUAAUUGGCUAGUAGUUGUGUGCUGGUGCUCCGAUGCCCUUCGCUGAUCUAGUGGUGAUGCGAGUGUCCUCUCCUCCAUAACCAUGCCAUCAUGACAUUGCUAAGUUUCAGUCUCUGACACUGCCAGUGAUAAAAAUGUAUCAAACUCGCCCUAUCCAAAUUAGUGUCUUGGGUUGACGCUCCAUGGCAUGGGCUGCUGAAUUUUCUGCCUGCCAAAUUCAUGGCCGAUACGAAAUGAAUUACCGCGCAAAUGCAGUUCAAUGUUGCACUGUUCAGAUUAAGAACAUUAACGCUCCAUGGCAUGGGCUCCUUUCUUUUGUUUGAAGGAGAAACGGCC
rnacentral:lncRNA from 1 species